rnacentral:lncRNA from 1 species
UCCUGUCAUCUUCAUUUUUUUCUCGUAUCCUCCCAGGUCCAAUGGCUUCAGAUAUGGAAUAAAAUCAGACACCACAAAUGUGCCCAACAACACAAAGAAUUUCCUUAUCACUUUUUGAAAUCGAACACCUUCUUUGUCAUCAGGUGAAAACCUUUUUCCUGAAACAACCCUGACGACAACAUUUAAUAUCAAGUUCUGAAACAAUUGUUUCAUAUCCACCUUUACCAUGUCGGAACUUCCACUCUCUUUAUUCUUUACCCAAGCGUUAUAUAUAUCUUCCAUGGAUGCUUUAACCUCUGAAGAACGAAGAGGUCCAAGCAUCUCCACACGUCGCUGAGAGAGAACCUCCAGAGUCAUGAUCUUGCGCACUUGUCGCCAGUAGUCCCCAUAAGGAGCUAGAGCCAAAAUGGCAUACUUAUAGCCCAUGUGUUCUACUGCCAUUGACUUGGGUCGACUUGCAAACACCUUAUCGUUUGUGGUAAAGCACUCUUUCGCCAUCUCAGCGCUACUCACCACCAAAACAUUGUGAACACCAAGCUUGAUGCUGAAAAUAGGGCCAUAUUUAUCUGCCAAUCCACCUAAGACCCUGUGAGGUAGUUCAGGUCCACCUAGAAGGCGCAGGUGUCCGAUUACUGGCCAUCGGCCCUUGACUUGAGGUGGUUCUGUGUUUUUCACUCUCUUUCCUUUAAAGCUUUGCAGCAGGAAUUUUAGUAGAAAACAAAAAACAAUUGCGGUUAUAGUCGCUGAAAAUGGGAGAAACAACUCCAUGUUUUCUACGUCCAGAAGAAAAAAUUAUGAGGGUGAUGAUACAUAGGUUUCAUAAUAUAUAGAGAUGGAACUCCCUGGCUGGCAGUGGCUGCCAACAUUUUAUAUAUUCAAAUUGAAUGCUAAUAUAAAAGUCAACAAAGUGGGCUGAAAAGUUUGUUGGAUACAAUUGUGUUAUUAAACGUAAUGAUCAUGCAUGUAGCAUAAACAUAUACUUAAGAAGGGAAUAUAAUUUAAGAAUGACAUAUACAUUUCUUGGUCUUGUGCCAAAAAAAACGAUAGAAUCUUUCUGUUGUUGAAUUAGAUGUAUUUUGACCAAAUUAAAUUUCAUCUAUUUAUCACCUAAUGGCGUUAAUAUCAAAAUCUUUCAUUUAAAUUCCUUUGAAUUCGUAUGCAUUCCAUGACACAAGGUUGAUCUUAAUUUAUUUUCUAAGCAAUAAUGUAUAUGAUUCGCACUAAAUAUUUUUUUUUUAAAUUGCAAUUUUAUAAAAAGAAAAAAGGCAUCUGCUUCUACAUGAGCAAGGUAUAAUGAAAGAAAUUGAAAAAAAAUAUUUAAUCGCAUAACAACCUUAGCACACAGUGAAAUCCAAUUGCCUCAAAUAAAGAACCUAAACUCUAGAAUUAUAUAUGAAAACUAGCCAAGAAUCAAAUCCCAACAAACUCCAUAAGUAAUCCAACGUAUGAUGACCACCUUAACGUGUAUGAACUUUUGAUGAAAAUGAAAAUGUUUGAACGGAACAAAUGAUCAAUCAAUCAUAAGGUGACCAUGACUUCUCUAGUUACGCCAACUCUCUAUCUCAACUAGCAUUAGUGCUGGAAAAUGAAAGCGGGUGAAAGAUUCAAUCAAAACUGUUGGGGUGUGAAGUCUUGUCCAUCAUGGAGCACUUACAACAAAAAAUGUAACUUGCCGACGAUAAAAAAAAAAACGUCGCAACUGAUGCUUGUAUCGUCGCUAAUACCUUUAGCGAUGACAUCUCGUGUCGUUGCUAAAGGGUGGUCGUUAUUACCUCGCAGCUAAUACUCAUUUGUUGUCGCAAAUGGCACUGUCCCUAAUACUCUCCGUCGGUAAAUGUCUCUUUCAUCACUAUUGGCGUCAUCUCUAUUGAUAUUCCAGCAAUCAUUCAGAGUGUUUCCUAAUACUCUUCCUGGAAUCAGUUGACGUCACAAUUUGUCAAUGUGGUCCAUAAAUGCGUACCUCUGUGGGUUCAUCAAGGACUUUUCGGCAUGCAGGAUGGCAUAUAUGAUCCUUGAUAACCCAAACACUAGCAGGAAACCGAACUGAGAUCAAACUUAUCCAAACUUACUCAUAACUCCAACGCGAUACGUAUCCCCAACAUCCAUCUAGUAGCAAUAGAAGAUGACAUACCCGCAACAUCUAGAGGAAUACUAAUCACCUUCUGCUGACAUGAUCAACCCUGCUACCCCGAAGUAGCUUAAACCCGCAGAGCGACAAACUCCCUUAUGCAUUGUCCUGUACGUGUUGCACUGACUCAGGCCCUGCUGGCCUUUCACCCGAGGAUUAGAAGAAAUGGGUCUCUUCCCGGGACCCUAUACUAUACGCACCUAGCACGAACCUUUUCUCAAAGUGCUCCAAAUCGAUCUCGUAUCUAUAAACUCUUGGAAGUCAGAUCCUUCAGGGUCUAACACCCUGUCACGCUCGCUAGCUCACUUUCCAAUGGCCAAGCUGCAACACUGGAACAUCCUCUGUCCCCAAACCGGGUCACUAAAUCUUCCCCGAAGCUUCUCAGAUUCUUCAAGACUCACACUGAUUCGAGUAUUGAUCCUGUGCUUUCAGUAGUACGGGCCUAAUACUACCUUCCACGCCUAUCCAUACUUUCCUCAGCAAUCCUCCCGAAUCCUCUAAGUCACUUCCUCAAACUGGUACACCCAAGUCUCACGGAGCCUCACUACUAUCCCACUCAAACAUAUCCUAGGCUUUCCUAGGUUCCCGAACCCACCCAGUCCUCAACUACUGAAAGAUUCCCAAUAAUGUCAACUAGCUACCUCAUGAAUAUAGCCACAUGCAACAGAGAUCAGAUAAUCCUUCAUGUAACAGACUCAUCCCUAUAACGAUUAGACUCAAACGAGAGCUGGGCAAUAGGGUCGAAUCUAUCACUCUGAGAUUAUCCAGCCUGUGCCACAUGUGACUUAGCAUAUUCACUUAAUAGCUAAAUCACAUUACUAAAAGUCCCACAAAGCACAAAGCAAGAAGCAUUCAGACAAUGGAAAAUCUAACCAUCAUAUUCUAAUCAAAUCAUUCUAUCCUCUAAUCAGGAAUUUGUACAUGUAAUUCAAAGGCUCAUACAAUCAGGCAUAACCUAAACAGGCUAUCCUAUUACCGACUGAUAAGUACUAACAUGCAAGUCUACAAGCACAUACAAUAGGCAUAUAAGGCAUCCUCCCUAUAUCCUUAGCCCUAAUCUAGCAUGCAGUUCUCAUAAUCAUAUCAUAUCAUAACAUCUCAUAACAUGUAUGGAUAUCUUGGGGAAGACUUACUUGAGCUUGGCUGGUUGCACGCAUCACACACCUUGGUCUUUUCUCUUUUCAAACUUUUGUUAUAAAAUGAUUUUACUUUUGAAAAUUUUCAUACCAUGUUCUUAGUUUGAGUUCAUACACACCCGAGAGUGUGCCCGAAUCCCUCAAACCAAGGCUCUGAUACCAACUUGUAUCAUCCCAAAAAUAAAGGCCAAAAAUUUCAUUUUUAAAUACGUUAUUAGAAAACCAACAGUGUAAUAAAACUUUCGUAAUAUCAUGUCAUGUCAAAACUAAAGUAGAAAUAGUCAAAACAUAUUAUCAUAAGACAAUAUCAGAGUGUAAUCCCAAAGAUCUCAUGUGCGGAAAACCAUAGUGUGAUGCACUGCGAUCGAGCCGACUCCUUUCCUGUGAAAACGAACUACCUGAAACCAAAACUAAAAAUCGUAAGCACAAAGCUUAGUGAGUUCCCCCAUCAUACCACAUACCAUACUAUAUAUUUUGAGGAAAUUAUGGGGUGCCUAACUUACCCAUGUCUAACCAUUCUGGGGUGUUUGACGUACCCAGGUCAAGCCAUUCUAGGGUGCAUGACGUACCAGUCGGUCUAUUUCACCCAACAACCGGGGACUAUUUCACCCCUACUACUACCAUAUAACACAUAGCAUAACAUAUUGUACUAACAGAAAAUUCUGGGGUGUCUGACUUACCCAGGCCAAACCAUUCUGGGGUGUUUGACGUACCCAGGUCAAACCAUUAUGGGGUGUUUGGCGUACCCAGAUCAAGCCAUUCUGGGGUGCUUGACGUACCCAUCGGUCUAUUUCACCCAACAACCGGGGACUAUUUCACCCCCUACUACUACUACCACAUAAACACAUAUCAUGAAAGCACAUAAACAUAAAAGGUAACAACAAACCUAGAUGAAUAACACAAAGACAGUCAUCUACCAUACAAAUCCUACUAGUGGGUCGGCAUUGUGGCCGUAGACCCACCAAUACUAAAAGAUAACUAACCUCACACUCCUACAAUCCUGUAGACACAAUCCCACACUUGUUGAAGUCUCGCAGACUCAUCGCAGCUGUUGGAUGACAGAUUCCCGAACUGUAAGCACCAAAACAACACCCAAUUAAUAAUUGGGUCCCAACACAUAACCAUAAUACAUACUUGGAUAAUUACUACAUUACCCUAGGCUUGGCUUAUUUAGGCCCAAGGCCCAAUCCAUAGGCCCAAAGCCAACUAGGAAUCAAAGAGGCCUAUACAUGGUCUUAAUCUAAGGCCCAACAUCAUAUAAUCAUUAAGGCCCAAACUGUGGCCCAAUAUUCCAAAUUGGGCCCAAACCACUUACGUGGGCCUUACCCUAGGCCCGUUAGAUUAUUCUAGUCUAAUUGCUUGAUCUUGUAUGGCCCAUUUAAUAAUCCAAUCAUCAAGGCCCAAUAGAAGGGCCCAAAAAUAAACCCAAGUGGAAUUAGGGUUUCUAAUAACAUGGUGAUUAGGGUUAAGUUUCCUACUUAACGCAUUAAAGACUUAAUCCAUUAAGUCCAAUAUUGCUUAGAUAAAUUUCCACCAAUGAUUAUUAUUUUGUAUUCCAGGUUAUAAAUAAGUCCCGUGUGUCUCGAUUAAUUCCCCAAAAUUAGGUUUUUGAUGGCAUUAGGGUUUUCCAAACCCUAAUUAGGGUUUCCAACCCAAAUACUAGCUCAUUUAUUAAUUUGUUGGCUUUUAGAUCAAUUAGGGUUUUAUUGGGCCUAUUAAGCCCAAUAAAAUAUUAUUAAUCCCAUUAGGGUUUUAUUGGGUCCAUUAGAGUCCAUUAAGCUUCAUUGGGCCCAUUUGAGCUUCUUUGGGCCCAGUAGGGUCUCAAGCACCCCAAAUGAAUCAACACCACGAGGCAAACCACACCGCCACCCAACACGGCGGCCGGUGGCGGCAGCCACCACCCUAGGGUGGUGGUUUCUAAUUUCUUUCCAUUAUUUCGCUUUUGAGUUAUAAUUAUAACGAAAUAUCAAAGCAACACACACUAACUAAGCUAAACAUACACACACAAACAACCUUGAGGUGGCCGGCGGUGGUGCAUGGCGGCAGCCACCACCUUGCGGUGGUGGUGAUGCCUUUUCCUAACAAAUAAACACCCACACACAUGCUUUAUUGAAAACGGAUACUUCCAUCGAUCUAGCGGCGUCCGACGGCAUAUUCCGAUGACAGCCACCAUGGCCGGCUGCCAUGGUGGUUCUCCACGACCCUACUCGACAGGACUUCCCCCACAGCGCACCCACGUCGCACACGAGCCUUGAACCAAACCAUCACUCACCGGUGAUAACAGGAAACGCCAUGAGUUCCUCCACCCACAAGGCGACAGGCGACAAGAUGAAUACAAGAAGAAGAAGAACAAUAGCAGCGAUUUGGAACAGUUACAACAACCGUGGUGGUUGAUUCGUGAUGUCAGCAACAAAGGUGGCACCGGAGGAAAGCGAGAUUGCGACUUCGUCGAUCAUUACACCCACCGGCGGCGACAUUUGAGGUUGCUUGGCAGUUGGCUCACGACUCCGACCAUGGCUACGAGGCAGUCGAUCGGUCUUUGGCAUGCUUUGGGUUCAUCGGCACGAGUCGGGGGGAAACAUCUUCGGUGGCACACAACUCGGUCGAUGGGAGGUGUGGCAUCACCGGCUAAGGGGUCAUAAGGAUGGCGGCUAAUGAAGAAACGAUUAGGGUUAGGGUUUUGGGAGGUCGGUUCAUGGUGAUGGGUUAAAUACCCGCAUCUCAUACAAACUUUCUACAGAUUUGUCACAACCAGCCACUCCUUACCAUAUCUUUUCCAAACUAAGCCCAAAUUUUGCCUUUUCUACCCCAGCUUCGGAAAUUCCCUUCAAAUUUGAUACCUGAUUUACCAAACUGCCCCUAGGCCUCUAAAAUCUCUUCCAUGAAGUCCCAAUAAUUACCCUUAGUCCAUGCCUUCCAUAAGACUUACAAAUUAAGUCCGGAUUUUACACUUUUAACCCCCAGUCUCUUAAAGUGUGACAAUUAGCUCUACGAGACCAUCAUUUGAUAUAUAGUUAUUUAUUUUAGGGCUUCUAUUCAUUCAUUAAUUUAUUUAACUAACUAAUAAAUAAACGGGUGUUACAACGUCUUUGUGCUCCAACAUAUGGUUUGAACAAGUAACAACAUAAGCAAUAUGCAACAUUUUGAUUUACACUAUAUUCUAGCCAUGUAUAAUAUUUAUUAACAUUAAACCAGGCAACAUUGAAUCUUUGUGGUUUGUUGCCAAAAAGAGUGCAAGAAAACUCAUGCGAUUUAGGUUGACAAUGCCCUUUUAAAAGGUAUGCUCUUCGAACUUCAUCUCGAACAUUAAAAUCAUAAUAUAAAAUCCUAGUCCUCAUUCCAGGGUCUAAGGAAAGAUCUGUUAAAUUCAUUUCCACACGGUUAUGUUUAGAAAAAUCAACAUUAAAUGCCUCUGAAGAAUCCAAAACUUUUCACUUUGUUACAUAUUUAUCCAUGCCUAGAAAAUAACAAGUAAUUAAUAAAUAAUAAGCAUUGUUUCUUAUAAUAAACAUAAGAAUGCAUAAACAGAAAAACAACAGGAAAAAUGGGGAUAAAACAACAAAAGGAAAAAUGGCGACAAAACAAACACUGCCACUUUCUUCUUUCUUUUACUUCAAUAAAACAAAUACUCACUUUCUUCUUUCAUUUACUACAAUAAAGCAGAGGGAUGGGGCUGCUGCAUCUUUUCCCCACAAGUGGUUGGGAUUAGUUUAAUAUUCAAAAGGAAAUUGGCGUCCAACAAAACAAAUAAAGAAGUGAUAUUAAUUUAAUAUUUAUCAGUAGGGACAGGGGACAUAUCCUAAAUAAACACAACCAACAUUAUACCCUAAUUUUGUUCAUAAUAUUAUGUUUACAACACAAUAACUUGUUCGCUGCUCAAUUGCUCCGAUCUCCAACUCUGCACGUUUCUACCUGAGCAAAGGGGAAUUUGGGUAUCCUAGCUAGUAAAAAAAAAUCAAAAAGCUGAGGGUGGGUCUGGGCUAAUAUAUAGUAAUGUUGACUUGUACCAUUUUAAGAUUGAUAUAAAGCAACUAUAUAUUAUGCGUGCAACAUAGCUCUGAUAAGACAAUGUUAGUGUAAUUAAACAACACUAAGUUAAGGAGGGGAAAUUUUCACCCUAAGACUCUGGUAUUAUCGAUGCUUAAAAUGUAAACAAGGGAUGGCUCUAUAUACAGAGCAUAUAUACAAGCGAAAGUAACUAGAAAACAUUGCAUGAAAUAAUUAAGGAAAAUCCAAAACAAAGUAGUAUGACUAAUAAUUAGCAAGCUGUUGAUAAGAUAGUAAGAAGAGUUUCUGAUUUAAUUUUUGGGGAUUGUCUUGGAAUCAUUCAUGAAUAAGACUAGAGUGUGGGCACAUGGUUAGUGGCAGCAAGGGUUGGUAGAUGAUUUGAAGCAGAGGUAUCAUGCAGCAACAGGGUACAUAUCAAGGGAUAAACGAGGCGCCAGAAGGACCUCAAGUGGGAUUGCUUUGCUGAUAGUCACUCCCGGGGUUUCACUCAUAUCAAUGGGUUCAUUCGAUGGCUUUUUAAGCACAAAUUGUUGUAUUAAAGUAGCUAAAGUUAUAUGCAAAGACCGAAGAGCAAACGGAAUAGCAGGGCAUACUCUUCUACCACUACCGAAAGGAAUCAAUUCAUAAUUGUUUCCCCUGACAUCAACAUGUUUAUGACUUGUCAAGAAUCUUUCUGGCUGAAAUUCUUCAGGAUCUGACCAUUUAUUAGGAUCAUGUUGAAUUUUCCAAAGAUUAGUCAAUAAACGUGUGCCUUUAGGGAUUUUGUAGCCACCAAUAAUGCAAUCCUCCAUGGACUCAUGAGGAAGGCUUAGAGGUCCAGGCGGGUAUAAACGCAGUGUUUCUUUAACGAUUGCAUCAAGGUAAACAAGGUUCUUUAGGUCGGACUCCUCUACUGCUCUCUUCCUUCCAACAUGCUCAUCCAAUUCAUCUUGGGCAAGUUUUAAUACUCUUGGGUUGUUGAGCAACAAACAUAAAGCCCAUGUUAAUGUUGCAGAUGAUGUGUCCAAGCCCGCAGCUAAAACAGUCUGCAAGUUUGAAGUAAAACAAAUUUCUUGUAUUAGGUUUCAAGCAACAUGUUGAUAAUUUUGUGGAAAUAUUAUAAAAGAAUGUGGAAGAAACUAUAAACGAUUAAAAAACUUUAUUAAUAGCAUUGGUGAUGUAUAAGACAAAAUAAUGAUGAUGAGACAAAGAUUAUAAGGUGUUUACCAAACAUGUAGCCUUGAUUAUGGUAUCAUGGUCAAAACCACGGAAUUCCUCUGGGGAGGCACCUUCAAGAACGGAAAUAAGAACAUCCAUGAAGACUUGGCUUCUUUCAUGUUGCUGCGCAUGCUUUUCCUCGGCUCUCACUCUCUUGUGAUCCUCUAGCCAUCCUGUAACAAUUCCGUACAUCUCUUCUCCUGUCAUCUUCAUUUUUUUCUCGUUGUUGGAAUCCUAAGUCAAGUAGGACUUGGAGACCAAGUAAUAGCAACCUAGUUUUUAGGAAAUCAUAAACAAGUAGGUUUUUAGUUUCCUAAUUGUAAACUAAUUCUACAAGUUGGUAGUAUAUAUAUGUAUAGAUACCGAGUUAUGGUUUGUACGUACAUACACACACAAAACACAAUAUAGGUUUUGAGUUAUUUUCCUAUUAAUCAAAGAGUUAUUUUGAUUAUCUGUGUUUUCAAUCUUGAAUUGGUAUCAGAGCCUUGAGAUCAAUUCUUACCUGUUGACGAGUAAGGUCAACAUGGCUGAUACAGGGGGCGAUGGAGGACCGGUGACUGUGAAAGAAACCGGAUCAACUUCUGUUCAGUGUCCCAUGUUAAAUUCCACGAAUUACAUGGUCUGGUCACUAAGGAUGAAGGUAGUUUUAAGAAUUCAUAAGGCUUGGAGUGUGAUUGACCCUGGAACAGAAGAGAAUGAAGAGAAGAACUACCUGGCAAUCGGAUUGUUGUAUCAAGCAGUCCCUGAAUCCUUGAUUAUGCAGAUCGGAGAUGUGGAUUCGGCAAAAACUUUAUGGGAUACGAUUAAGGCUCGUCAUGUUGGGGCCGACCGUGUAAAAGAAGCGCGCCUGCAAACCCUAACCGCCGAGUUUGAUCGACUCAAGAUGUUGGAAUCGGAGUCAAUUGAUGAGUACGCCGGAAAAUUGACCUGUAUCGCCUCGAAAUCAGCAGCCCUCGGAGAAACCAUUGAUGAAUCCAAGUUAGUAAAGAAAUUUCUGAAAACUCUUCCCCGAUCAAAAUUCAUCCAUAUCGUCGCCUCUCUUGAACAAGUAUUGGACCUAAAAACGGUGGGAUUUGAAGAUGUCGUCGGAAGGCUCAAAGCUUACGAAGAGAGAAUUAGGGAGGAUGAGGUGAGUGAUGGAGAACAAUCGAAGGUGAUGUUUGCGAAGAAGGCGACUGGAUCUCAAAGUGGAACGAAGGGAAACUGGAAGGGAUCGAGUGGAUCUACUGGGCACUAUCAGACAAACGGAUCAAAUGGGUCAAAAGGAAACGGGUCAAACCAAUACAAAACCAAAAGGUCCAAUAAUACGAGCCCAAAUUCAAAUAAACCCAAUAAUACUAAUGACCCAAACCAAAAAAUUAAGAAUAAGAAGGAUCGUUCAAAAGUUAUUUGUUACCGAUGCGAUAAGCCGGGUCACUUUGCGUCUCAAUGUCCGGACCGAAUCAAAAAAUUACAAGAAAAUAAUUUUAUUGAAUAUGACGAUACCGACGAUGCCGUAUUUUUACAUGAGACCGUAUUUUUGAAUGAAGAGAAGGUGAUACCGUCUCGAUACGACUCACAAGAAAACGAUGUGUGGUAUUUGGAUAAUGGGGCGAGCAAUCACAUGACGGGGAACCGGUCAUUUUUUUCCGAACUUGACGAAAACAUAACCGGGAAGGUUAAAUUUGGAGAUAAUUCGUGUGUAAAAAUCAAGGGAAAAGGUGCUAUACUUUUCCAAGGCAAGAAAGGUCAACAAAGGCUGAUGACGGAAAUUUACUACAUUCCGGAUCUCAAGAACAACAUUAUAAGCCUCGGACAAGCAACUGAAGCCGGGUGUGAUAUUCGAAUGAAAGACAACUUUUUAACCAUGCACGAUGCCGAUAAUUGCUUAUUAAUGAAAGUACAAAGAACUUCAAACCGCCUUUAUAAAAUAAAAUUACAGAUUGGAGUUCCUAUUUGCCUACAUUCAAGACUAAGUGAAGAUGCGUGGCGAUGGCAUGCAAGACUUGGGCACAUCAAUUUCGAGUCAAUGAAAAAGAUGUCCAAAAAAGGUUUAGUCNCAAGAAUUUUAGUAGAAAACAAAAAACAAUUGCGGUUAUAGUCGCUGAAAAUGGGAGAAACAACUCCAUGUUUUCUACGUCCAGAAGAAAAAAUUAUGAGGGUGAUGAUACAUAGGUUUCAUAAUAUAUAGUGAUGGAACUCCCUGGCUGCUAACGUUUUAUGUUAUAUUAUAUAUAUUUUCGAAUUUAAUGGUUCUGAAUAAUGUAAAAGUCAACAAAGUGGGCUGAGAAGUUUGGUGGAUACAAUUGCCUUAUUAAACAUAAUGAUCAUUUAGCAUAAACAUAUAUUUAAGAGGGAAUAUAAUUUAAGAAUGACAUAUACAUUUCAUCGUCUUGUGCCAAAAAAUGGUCGUGUGCCAAAAAAAUUAUAGAAUCUCUCUGUUGUUGAAUUAGAUGUACUUUGACCAGGUUAGAUUUAGAGUAAAUUACACGAAUGGGGUUUGGGUAAUUUGCUUAUUUGGUCUCUAACUUAUUUUUUUUAAUUGGAAGGUCCCUACUGUUUGUUUUUGUUACAUGUUUAGUCCCCGUCUUACCUAAAAAGUCUAUUUCCCUUAAUUAUUUAGUUUAUUUAAAUAAACUCACCCACAAGCUACCCCCACCUCACAUUAUCUUAUCGAAAUAAAAGACAAUUUUAAUUUAUUUAAAUAAGAGCAUAAUAGUCAUUUUUGCUAAGACAGAGACCAAACGCGUAACAAAAACAAACUGUAGGGACCUUCCGAUUAAAAAAGCAAGUUAGAGACCAAACACGCAAAUUACCGCAAACCAUAAGGAGCAUUUGUGUAAUUUACUCUUAAAGUUAAUCUAUUUAACACCUAAAGGCCUCAAUGUCAAAAUCUUAAUGAUCUUGCGCACUUGUCGCCAGUAGUCCCCCAUAAGGAGCUACAGCCAAAAUGUGUUCUACUGCCAUUGACUUGGGUCGACUUGCAAAGACCUUAUCAUUUGUGGUAAAGCACUCUUUCGCCGUCUCAGCGUUACUCACCACCAAAACAUUGUGAACACCAAGCUUGAUGGUGAAGAUGGGGCCAUAUUUAUCUGCCAUGCCACCUAAGACCCUGUGAGGUAGUUCAGGUCCACAAAGAAGGCCCAGGUGUCCGAUUAACGGCCAUCGGCCCUUUGCUUGAGGUGGUUCUGUGUUUUUCCCUCUCUUUCCUUUCAAGAUUUGCAGCAGGAAUUUUAGUAGAAAAGCAAAAAAUAUGGCUACUAUACUUGCUAAAAACGGGAGAAACAACUUCAUGUUUCCUACGUCGAGAAAGAAUUAUGAAAGUGAUGAUACAUGGGUUUCAUAAUAUAUAGAGACGGANNNNNNNACACACAUAUAUAUAUAUAUAUAUAUAUAUAUAUAUAUAUAUAUAUAUAUAGGUUAAGGUUCAUUUGAGACCAUUCUAAUUUUGUGACACAAUGAGACCAAGUCUAAAAAUAAUUUUAAAAUGCAAAAUAAAUGGAAAAAUCCAAAAAUUCUUUUUUUUUUUUAAAUAUUAUUUUCGGAACUUGAAUUAACUAAAAAAAAAUAAAAAAAAAUAAAUAAUCCCUUUUUUUUUUUUGAAAAAUAGGUGAAAUAUUAUAAUAGAAUAUUACAUUGUACAUAUUGAUGAGUUGAAAAACUCUUUGAUCAUUUAGAUCUCACACAGGUUAAUCAGAAUAAUGAGAAUAACAANCAAACAAGAGAAUAAAUCAAAAAAUAAGCUGAAUGAUUUAAUAGAUUCACGCCUCAGCAGAGCUCGAUAAAGAACUUCCACUGUAGAGGCUUUUAGGGUUACAAUCGAUAAAACUAUAAUUGAUGUGAAUGAUCGACUGAAAAGCUACGUACAAAGAUGCAUGCAAGCUUCUAUAAAUACUAAACCCUAAUUAAUAAAUCACGGAUGGACAGACCCAAUCCGGAUACAAAAUUGGACUAAGGACCGAGCCCAAGAGGCAACACAUAAUGGACCCUACAAUCUCCCCAUUUGCGUCAAUUGGGGCGAGACUCUACUUUGGCUUACUGGAUCCUGCUGCAUUAAAUUUCUUCGUUGUAUCGAACAGACAAGGAAUGAUGACAAGAAUAGUUUGUCUGAAACGAAUAUACCAGUGGAUCAUGUCAUUGAAGUACUUCUUAUCAUCUUCAGAAUUUUGCUUACACCGAUUAAUGAUCCCCAGAACAUGCUCCAAACACGAAGUGGUAUAAAGAUGUUUGUCAGCCAAGGCGAACAUACAUUUUUAGCCUUCAUUCCUGGUGAACAUAACUGAGUUUCAGUUCUGAUCGAUCCUCCCCAUCUGCAUUUUAUUUAGAUCACUUGCAGAACCGACUGGGGAGAUGGUGGGCUUCUUCCUGAAUACGUUAGCAAUUUCCUGAUCCAUCUUAGCAACCUCCAUGAUAUAACAAACCAACAUCCUCUUGAAGUGAUCUAUGAUCGGCCCAUAUUCAGCUUCAUUGGUGAGGAGGAUGUUAUGCAGGAUGAUCCAAUCGUGAGGAUUCAGGUUAGGAAGAUCAGCGAGAGUAAUGGCAUGUUCGGCUUUAUCUGACCCCCUCAAUACUUUGAAUCUGAUGUUCGUGAAGUUACCCUCCCGAAAGGGUUUGAGGACCCGAACGUUGACGAUCUUCUAUGCACUCCACGUCUGAUACUGAGGUUGAGCAAACCUCAGAUAGAAAUCAAUAAGUUCCCUAUCGACCUUCGGGUGAGGAUGAGGGACUUCAGCAAUGUAGGGAAAUGCAUGAAAUAUAAAAGCCUUUCGGGUCAAGGGCAUGUCGAACUGAGAGUCAACAGAAUUAAACCUGUCCAAAGAGAUCACCGGUUCAAGCCAAAGGAUGCUGGGGGACUCGAUAGCUUUUUUGAUAAGCUUCUCAAGAGUCCAUGGAGGGAAUAGGGUUUUUCGACUUUCAAGGAGAUCAUGAGCCUCCUUCAUCCUCCUUUCAUUUGCUUCGGCCUCCCUAGCGAUCCGAGAACUCAUGUCUGGUUCCUUGUCCCGGGCUUGUUUCUUCAAGAUAUCAGCAAUGGUUUCUUUGUCAUCGUCGCCAUCACUGUCAUCAAGAACCUUUUUGCCUUUGUCUUGAGCACCCGAACCUGAAGCAUGACCAGUUGUUGGUGGUUCGAUUGCUUUAGUUGGAGCUGAUGUAGAAGUAGGAGACGGUUGAGAUUGAUUACUGCCCAUUGAAGCUCCUUCUCCCCCUUGUUUUGGAUGGACCACCUGCUUAGGAAGCCCCUCAGUUUUGCUGAGCAAGGCAAGGGCAGGAGCAAGUUUCUCAGCAAGAGUUCGCGUCACUGAGUAGUUGAGAAUCGGAUCAUGCGCUUGAAUAAUAUUUGAGAGGGCUCCGUGGACAUCCGAAACACAACUCCAAAUCACAGCUCGCUCGGAUUGAAGAGAAUUAACCUCCUUCUCAGUUUGAGAAAGCUAAAGACUCUUGAUUUUUAGUGCAGUUGUUUUGCAUACAAGCGCAUCCAUCACCGAGUUUUUUGAGGAAAGGUCUUCUUGGAGCUUGGUCAAGCGAUCCUCAACAACUGCCUGGAAGGUUUUGUUGUCAGCUUCAAGGGUCUGACGAAGACUGGCUAAGUGAUGCUUUUCUGUUUCAAUGGAAGUAGCCAGCUUCUCAACAACCGAAUCAACCUUUGUUGUAUUAGAUUCAGCUGCUCCCUAUAAAGACUCCAAAAAGGUGUUAGCAUCGUGAAAUAGUUUUUCAACUUUUUCGGUCGCAGCAGCACAGGCCUUUGUGGAUGCAUCUAUAGCAACAGUAGUAGAGUUGAUAGAGGGUUCGUGUGCCUUGGUGAAAGUAUCAACCAUCCCUUGAAUGGCAGCUUCUGUGAUAUGGGACCGAGAGGAAGAGGAAGAAGCGACGAGAUUAUCAAUUUUCUCAUGAAGUUCCUUGAUAUGCUUUUUGGUGACAGGUGCAUCAUCUUCAUCAUCGCUUUUAACCUGGUAGGGACUGUAUUAGACAAAAUCGAAGGUCAUAUAUUCCCCUCCUAGAAAUGUCUCGGUUUCGGCUGAGUGAUUUGGAGAUGAAGGUGAUGGUGGAGGUUCGGUUGUGGGAGUAGGUUCGGUUGUGGAAGUAUGUUCGGUUGUAGGUGUGUGUUCGGGUGCUGAAGUACGAGCCCCCGUAUCAGAUAUGUUGGUUCGAACUCCAAUGGUUGUUGUUUUUGUAGCGUCUGAGAAAAUAGGAGGUGGUACAGGAAUAGAAGUGAGUGGAAUAUGAGUGGAGGAAGUUAUGGGGGGAAUGGAAAUAGAGAUAGUGAUAGGGGAGAAGAGACAGGUUUGUAUUGUAACUGGUACCUCGUGUGAAGGCGAACGGGGAGGAGAGUCGCCUCGAAAUGACUCCUAUGAGUCUGAACUUUCAUCCUCUGAUUCACUUGAGGAAGAAGCAAGAAUGAGUUUUCGUUUAGGGUGGGUUUUCCUCUUCUUUGGUGGAGGUGAUUGGGCUGCCUUUGUUGGUUUUCUUUUUUUAGGAAAAGGGCCUUUUGCCCCUUUGACCACUUUCUUGUCUUUCCCUUUUUCUGGUUUCUUGCCCCUGGGAGCAGGUUUGUCGGCAUCGUUGACGGACUGAAGCAUCUCUGGAGUCAGCUCUCUGGGACCCGAAGGAAGAAACUCCUUGUAGGUCUUGAUGAUGCGUCUCUGCCCUGAUACACAAGCAUACACGGACUCAGGAAUUGAGCCAACAAAUAGAAACUUGGAAGGAUCAGUAACGAUGACCUUUGUAGUGUGGAAGACGCCAAUAGAGGAGAGUGGAGAAGUGGCCACAAUGGGGACAUGAUACUUGUCCAUUUGCCCAUUUAGUGACGAGCGUCCAGAACCUGGCAUAGGAGAUUUCAGUGUGUCGAGAAGUAGAGGCGAGGCUUUGGAUCAACUGCUGCCAUAGAACUAAGCCAUAGUCGAGGUUGAUCCCAAUAUACAGCCCAUAAAGAAUCGUCGUGAAUAGACGACUGGCCCCAUUAGAACCUGCACUCCUCUCAGAUAAGCCUUUGAAUAAUAUCGUGAAAAAGCCAUUCCAUUGAGGAGGAAGACACGACUUCUUGAACUUCAUGACAGUGGUAAGGAUUUCAGUGUAACCCAUGUUGUAAAACAUGGAGAAUAAUUUCCCCACAGAGAUGGAAUCAGGGUUAACCCUCGACUCAUCAGGUUCAAACCCUAGAAGCGAGCAAAAGCGCUGUUUUGAGAUGGAGGUUUUGGUAUCAAAGAUGUCAAAGUAGAUGCGAUCAAUAGAUUUGUCGUAGUGACUUGUGGAGAAAAUCUGGGAUAGACACUCCAUAGGCACAGUUUCGACCUUGGUCAGUGCGAGAACCAAUGGAGAGUAUUUGAGACACUCCACUAUGGGAUACAUGAAGGCAUCAUAGGAAACUGGGGUGAGAUCAAUGAUCAAGCUUUGUUGGGGUCUGAUUGGGAGAAUGUGGGAGGUUUCAUGAACAGAGGAGGAAUCCGCCAUUGUUGAGUGCUUCGAAGAAGAAGAUGAACAGUGGGAGAAAAUCGUCUUUGUUUUCUCUCAGAAAUUUGGGUGCAGUAAAGAGGUAAAACAACUAGGGUUUAACCCUUUAUACCGUGUGUAGAGGUGAGAGAAAAAUUCGCCCCCAAAUCCUCUUGAAACACGAAUCGGUUCCUGAGUUGAUUGAAGCGUGACAGUUGGCAACCCCGAUGAUUAUGCAUGAGAGAGAAAAACGUUUUCAUUUAGCACGCCUUCCCAUCAAAUACCUUUUUGAAUUCUUGAAACCUUUAGUCUCCCGGCUGAGUCAUCAGCUUAUCUUUAAAAUGAGCUGUCAUCAUUAAAUAAAAACAAACACUUAGAAAAACCACUGCAUCCCUUUGUGAAUAAAGCAUUAAGAACCGGAGCUACAUAAAGAAAAGUAGCUUGUAGUGAACCAAACCAGACUUUUGGAAAAUCAAAAAGAUUUUCGUGCAUAGAGUGUCAAAGAUGAGGAAAUAAAGCAACAUCUAUGUGGGAAUUUGUGAUGUCAAUAUAGACACGAAACAGUGGAUCCCGGGCACGAAUCUCUUCCUUCAAAGUCAAGAGAGACUUUAAAGUGUCUGUGUGGUUUCCUGUUGAAUUACGAUCAAGCACUUGUUAAGAAGUGUUGAAAGGCAUCUUUUGAUGAGGCUUAGAGGGGUGGCUUUCGCUUCAGUUCAAAAUUCGAGAUCUUGACAGAAGAUAGAAACCGAAUGAAGUACUUGUGAGACCAAUGUGGUCUGUUUAACAAGUAGGUUUAGACAAUAUUUAGUGACUUGUUGGAAAUGUUUGGUGUGAAAUCUCAAAAACAAUUUAAAACUGGAUUCUAUGGGAAGAAAUGUUAUGGAGUGUAACAAUUUCAUAAGAAUCACACAAAAAUAAAAAUAGAGAUUUCAUGGUACAACCACUUGGGUGGUUUCGUUAAUUCAUGGGUGAAAGCUAGAGCAAAUUUAAUUGUUCACCGUCAAUGCAUAGUGGGUAUUGAAUUUUGGGUUUCACUUAGCACGUAGUGACACGAAGCUAAGAUCAUAACUGCAGAGAUUGUGUAACCAUAAACCUCAGUGGUUAUAUCUGAAAGUCUCAAGGGUUACAUUUAUGAACCAAAAUAUGAUGGAGAAAAAUGUUUGAGGUGUUGUAAAGAAAUCAAAGUACCUCUGCUAUAAAAGGAAUGACCAAGCAGAAAACUCUUAACUCAUAUGAGAAAGGAGUAAGGUAGCUCAUGAUUAGAAUAAAGUUAGCAGCCUAAUUGGGAAGACGAGGUUUGUUUAUACCCAAUCAAUAAGGCUUUAUUCAAAAUCAGUUGAGGCUUUGGACAACAUGCAGCAACAUGCUUCUAGGGACACUUAGCUAGUAUAAAGUGUGAUAAUGAUACCUGCCCCAUCGAUAUUCCAAAGACUGUUAACAUAAACAGAAGUAGAGACAAAAGAAAUAAAAUAUUUUUGGAAUUUUGAUAUUUUUGUAAAGAGAAAAACAAAACAAACCAAACACAAAAAAAAAAUUGUUUGAACCGAACCAGAAAUGGACCGAACGCUCGGUUCAUUUCGGUUCCAAAAAGAAAUAUUUUUGGAAUUUUGAAAAACAAUUGUACAAAAGUAUACAACCAAAGACAUCACCUUUUUGAGAUAAGCGAAAACAAGUGCAGUGGGACCGAACCCGAAAUAGACCGAGAGUUCGGUUCAUUUCGGUUCCCGUGUGAACCGAGCCCGAAAUAGACCGAGCGUUCGGUUCAUUUCGCUUCCAACUUUUAGUUUUGAGAAGGUGUUUUUGGUACUGACUCCGAUUCCAUCAUACCUAGGCCUUGUAGGAUUUUAUUGAAACUUGCUUCAGGAAGGGCUUUGGUGAAGAUGUCGGCCAGUUGAUCAGUGGUUCGAACAAAGUGAAUUUCGACGUUUCCAUCUUCCACAUGAUCCUUAAUAAAGUGAUAUCUCUACAAUUGCUUCUUCAGUAGACUUCAACUUCUUGACGUAAUUUCCAUCGAACGUUACAUAAUAGGUUUCUUCAAUUCGUUUAGAACGCUUAUUCAAAACCCUGUACGCCUUUGAAGUAAGAGAAUAUCCCAAAAAGAUGCCUUCAUCGACUUUGACAUCAAAUUUGUUGCGAUGCUCUUUGGAGUUGAAAAUGAAGCAUCUCGAGCCGAACACAUGAAAGAACUUGACAUUCGGCUUCCUGUUGUUGAUAAUCUCAUAGGGGGUGAGAGAGAAACGCUUGUUGAGAUAAGAUCUGUUUUGAGUGAAACAAGCUGCAGCAAUGGCGUCUGCCCUGAAAUAUAGAAGAAGGGAGGCAAAACUCAGCAUGGUUCGGGCCGCCUCACACAGGGAUUGGUUUCGCCUUUCGACAAUUCCAUUCUGUUGAGGUGUGUAGGGGGCUGAGAAAUUAUGACCGGUGCCUUUUUCUGCUAAGAAAUCUUCGAAUUCUUUGUUCUUGAAUUCCAGUCCAUUGUCGCUCCUGAUGUUUCGAACGACUUUUCUUAGUUGCACUUCGACCUGCUUGAUAAAGAUCUUCAGCUUGGGAGUCGCCUCAGAUUUGUGCUUUAGAAAGAAUACCCAAGUAAAUCGUGAGAAGUCAUCAACAAUAACAAGGAUGUACUUGUUACCGCCAAUGCUCUCGAUUGAUGAUGGACCAUAUAAGUCGAUGUGAAGCAACUCAAGUGGUUCAACAACUUUGGUGUUUAUGAUUGUUGGGUGAAUUUGGCGACUUUGUUUCCCCAUUUCACAUGCAGCACAUAAGUGUUCUCAAUCGAACUUAAGCAGUGGAAGUCCCCGAACAUGACCACCCAUGAAUAGCUUGUUGAUGUCUUUGAAGUUGAGGUGUGAGAGCCUUCUGUGCCACAACCAACUUUCGUUUGAAUGGGCUUUGGACAAUAGACAUAUGGCUGGAUUCCCUUUGAUUGGGUUGAUAUUCAGAGGGAACAUUUCACCUUUUCGAUCUGACUUGAGAAUAACUUUGUUGGAUUUCUUCUCAAUUAUCUCUGAACCUUCGUCAUCGAACGAGACUUUGAGACUUGUACCUCCCACCAGUUGAGACACACUGAUGAGGUUAUGUUGCAACCCCUCUAGAUACGCCACCUUCCUGAUUGUAAAGUCUCCAUUGGUUAUCAUUCCAUAACCCUUUAUCGUUCCAUAGGAGUUGUUACCAAACUUGACGUUACCACCGUUUUGAAGGGACCGAAACUCCCUUAACUCCUCCUUCCUUCUUGUCAUAUGACGUGAGCAACCACUGUCUAUGUACCAUUCUUCGUCGAACUGCUCGUCACUUAUAACCUGCAAAAAUUAAGCAGAUUUAGGAACCCAAAGUUUCUUGGGUUGUCGUGAGCCUUUUAAAGAAACAGGAAUAGUAAGAGAAACAUCAACAAGAUAAGUUCGUUUUAUUAAGGUUGUUUCAUCUUUCCUCUUAAUAGUAAACACUUUGAUUUUAUUGGAGUUAGAUGCAGGUAUUUUGGAUUCAGGUUCGGGAGUUUGGACUUUAGCUUGCUUUCGGUCUUCAUCUGCUGAGGAAAUCUUCCUUUUUCCUUUUAAAUCCUUCUUCGAGUGUGAGCUUGGUGUAAGACGAGAAUUAGGCUUAGAAGAAGAACGAGAAGAAUUAGAGGAAUAGAAAUUAGAAUGAGAAUCUUUCCUGACUUGAGGUUCGAAAUGACCCUUUCGGUUGUGAUCAUUUGAGAGACCGAACGUGGACCUUCGGUUGCUAUUUGUUGAUGGACCGAAACUGGCUUUUCGGUUGUUGUGGGUUGCUAAACCGAAACUGGGUCUUCUGCUGUAAAAGCUUGAUGGACUAAACUCUGGUCUUUGUCUGUUGUUGUUUGGUGGACCGAAACCAGGAUUUCGGUUGUUGUUACUUUCGGGACCGAACUUGUCUUUCCGAUUUUGUUCUUUCUGUGGCCCAAAAGUCUUCUUCUGGUUCUUUUGAUCCAAUGGACCGAAGCUCCUUUUACUCUUAUUUUCUUCUCCUUUUGGCUUGGAGUUUCUAUCAAAGUAAGUAUAGUGAGGAUUUUGGGAGCGCCAAAAUUGCUUUCGCUCUGAGAGAUUUUUCUUGUAUCUCAGAUUUCUCUGCUGCUUUAGAUUUUUCACCUAUUUCGGUUGUCUGUGAAUAUUUUCCUUUUGUUUCAGCUUCUGAACAACUGGUUCACUUUCCAUGGAAGAGGUUUCGGUUGUUGAGGAGACGCAUUCUACCGGAACCUCUUUUGUGCCACUGGAACUGGGCACAUCAAAGUUGGUAGGUUUAUUGAGUGGUUAUGCCACAUAUCUACCUUUGACCUUCCAUGAUGUUUGCUCCGAUAAACCAACUGUUUCAUAUGCGUUGUCUAUCGGUGCAGACCAGAAAAACUCAUCACAACCAUCUGCAUUAUCAUCAUUCACCAUUGCAGUGAGUUCGGCUGUCUGAUGUUCGGUUACUUCUGUGACCUUAUAAACCUGAUUGGGAGUGGUUCUUACCUUUUGGUAUACAACGGCCUUUUCUUUAAGGAUUGGGGACUUAAUUUUGGAUAGAAGAGCGAAUUCCACAGAAUUUUCAGAAAUCAAGUUUUUGUGGUUUUCAGGUUCGCUCCUAAUAAACUCGGAACAGUCAACCUCAUCCUCUACAGAGAUUUCACUCAUGUCAUCGUCCUCAUUAAGUUCAGAUGCAUUUUCAACAUCAAUUUUAUUUUCUGAACUUAAUUUGGUACUCAAUGAGUCAAAUUUUUGUAUAGUUUCGGCUCUGAGUUUCAACCUAUCAUUUUCAUCCAAAAGAUUCUUAAGCAUGUCCUUAUGGUCUUUGGACUUUAUAAACGAUUCAAUUUUGUCCAGACCAAACAUAUAAGUGGGAUUCACAUCAUCUGAAGAUACAACACUUUCACAGUUGUAUGCUUCGGCAUCGAUUUCAUCCUCCUUUAGCUCAAGGAAGGGCAAAAUCAUGCGAUGUAUUUUCUGGCCUAUUUCACAGUCUAAAUGCAGUUGAGUAAUGUUAGUAUAAAUUCUUUUUGCAAUCAAACAAAAAACAUUUCUCUGUUUUAACAACUUAAGAUUGUCUCUUUGCAAAUAGAUAUUUUCAUCCCUAGACUUAACCAGCUCCAACUCCUUCUGCUCAAUCCACAUUCUUCGCUCCUCACUCUUGGAUGAUACCCUGCUUAUUUAGUCAGUCAGAUUAGAAUUCGUGACACGUGUUUGAGUUAAACAACUUUCCAGAUUUGAAAUUCUUGAAUUCAAGUUAUUUAAUUCUCUUUCAUAUGAUGUAUGUGGAAUUUUAAACAAAACAAAAAUGGAUUGUACCUUCUUGAUCAGUUCAUCUAGUUCUCUGAUCUGCAUACUGAGAGGCUUCGAUGUAAAGCACACGUCCUCUUGCUCCUUAGCCACUUCGUUUCCACCAUCAGUGUUGUAUCCCCUCAUCUGGGAUACAUCUGUUACCAUCAAACAUCUUCCACCAGUAUCACCACUCUUCGCCACAUAAGCCUUUCCAUGAGUAGGCUUUCUCACUUCAUCAUCUUCUGAGUCGGUUGACCACACUUGUACACCACCGAACUCAUCAUCAUCUACCGAAUCCUGCACAACAAGAGCAUUCAUAAAGGGAUUAGUAGCAACUUUCUUCCUUUUAAUCUCCUCCAGUCUUUUCAGGAGACUUGCUUCUUCAAUCUUCUCCUCAUCUUUCUCUGCCAUUUUCUUCAACACAUAAUUUUUUGUGUAGUGAUUUUCCCUCCACAGUAAAAACAGUUGACACAAGAAUCAGCUUCACCCUUCGCUUCUUUCUUUGGUUCUUCAACCUUCGGCUCCUCUUUCACUUUUUCAGAGCUGUAGCUUCCCUGCCAAUUUCAGUUCUUAUUGGUAGGGAACUUCUUCUUGAUGAAUCUCCUAGGAUUUGGCACCAUCAUUGCGUAAUCUUCAGAUGCCAGAUCGUAGUCUCCCAGAUUCAGAUCUUCUUCUUCUUCUGCUGCACUCUUAACUUUAGACAGAAGGGCCAAAGACACCAAGUUUGAAACCAUGCUCUUCUCUUGUAGCACAAUCUUUUCCUGGGAUUUCAGAAUCCUAGUAGUUUCACCAAAGAAUAUGAUUUGAACUGCUCAUGCGCUUUAACCGUCGACACAAUCGCCCUCCAUUCGGGUUUUAGGCCAUUUAAGAAAGUGACCUUUUGUUCGAUGAGCUUUCUUUCUAUGUCAUGUUUGAUCAUCUUACUGAGAAGAUGAUUGAACCGAUCAAAUGUUUGUAUAACAACGUCCUCUGGCUUCUGAUUGAACUCUCCAAAUUCAGAGAGAAGUAGGGUCCGAAUCGAGUGCUCCAGAUCUUCAUCUGUGGAACACAGCUCUCGCAGCCGAUCCCAGAUUUCCUUUGCUGUACCACAAGAACUUACUAACCGAAAUGUGUCGGAUUGAAGGGCGAAUCGAAUUAGGCUCAAUGCCUUAAUGUUGCAUUGGAACUUCUCCUUUUCGUCCUGAGCGACGUCCUUCACAUCUUUUAAUAGAUCAUUGUACUCCUUCUAAGUUUUAAUGAUUCUUGAAGUGCUUGAGUGAGCGAAUGAUUCUUGAAGUGCUUGAGUGAGCGUAGAGGAUUGGGAUCUUGGUUUUUGAUCCGAUGCUGUUAGAGAUGAUGAUGGGGUUGGAUUGAGAAUCAUCCAUGCUUGAUCAUUUAACCUGUUAUAAGAUCAGACUUUGUAAUACGUAAUAUUAGGGCAAGAUGAAUAAUUAAUGAGAUACGUCAAUUAUGGAGUGACGACUCAAUAAAUAUCAAUGAAUGUGGAAUGAACCCUAAUCACUUCUUUCAUAGAAGAGAUGUGUAUGAAUUACACAGUCUCCUGCUCUGAUACCAAUUGAUGAGUUGAAAAACUAUUUGAUCGUUUAGAUCUCACACAGGUUAAUCAGAAUAAUGCAAAUAGAAUAACAAACAAGAGAAUGAAUUAAAAGUAAGCUGAAUGAUUCAAUAGAUUCACGCCUCUGCAGAGCUCGAUAAAGAACUUCCACUGUAGAGGCUUUUAGGGUUACAAUCAAUAAAACUAUAAUCACCGUGAAUGAUCGACUGAAAAGCUACAUACAAAGAUGCAUGCAAGCUUCUAUAAAUACUAAACCCUAAUUAAUAAAUCACGGAUGGACAAGCCCAAUCCGGAUACAAAAUUGGACUAAGGACCGAGCCCAAGAUGCAACACAUAAUGGACCCUACACAUAUUCUAAAAAAUAAUUUUUAAAUGCAAAAUAAAUGGAAAAAAUCUAAAAAUUCUUUUUUUAAAUAUUAUUUUCAGAACAUUAAUUAACUAAAAAAAAAUAAAAAAAAAAUAAAAUAAAUCCCAUUGUUUUUGAAAAUUACGUGAAAUAUUAUAAUAGAAUAUUAUACUAUACAUAUUCUAAAAAAUAAUUCUAAUAUGCAAAAUAAAUGAAAAAAAUCCAAAAAUUCUUUUUUUAAAUAUUAUUUUCGGAACUUGAAUUAAUUAAAAAAAAUUAAAAAAAUUAAAAAAAUAAAAAAUAUAAAAAAAUGCGUCUNNNNNNNNNNNNNNNUAUGUGGAAUAUAUAUAUAUAUAUAUAUAUAUAUACAUAUAUAUAUAUAUAUAUAUAUAAAUUGAAUGCUAAUAUAAAAGUCAACAAAGUGGGCUGGAACGUUUGUUGGAUACAAUUGUGUUAUUAAACGUAAUGAUCAUGUAGCAUAAACCUAUAUUUAAUAAGAGAAUAUAAUUUAAGAAUGACAUAUACAUUUCUUGGUCUUGUGCCACAAAAAUGAUAGAAUCUUUAUGUUGUUGAAUUAGAUGUAUUUUGACCAAAUUAAAUUUCAUCUAUUUGUCACCUAAUGGCAUUGAUAUCAAAAUCUUUUAUUUCAACUAGAUGAGGAGCCCCGCGUUGCGAGGAUCGAGCUAAACAGAUAAGAUCGAGAGCAUAUAAUUUGAAUCGGAAAAUGAGUCCAUUCAACUUCAUUGUCUUCUUUGCACACCAGAAAAGCAAUACCGGACGCUUGACAGCAUUAGAAUUUAUAGUACAAACCAUUACCACUGUAUCAUUCUUCUUGGAAGUACAUCUUUUCACCUUAUUGCUAAUCUAACAACAAAAAAAUUAUGUUGUUUAAUAUGUUGUAUAUUUUCUUAAAAUUUGAUAGAAGCAUCAAAUAUGUAAUUGAAUUGUAAUGUGAUGGAAUGAUUAAUAAACUCAAGCAUCAAAUGGGUCUGUUUUUCUAUCAAACAACACUUACCUCCUAUGUAGUAGAUGUCAUCGCCGGUUUUCUACAUCCUUGAUAAUUAAUCAUUAUUAUUGAGUGCUUAUGUGCGUGUUGGAUUUGUUACACUACACCUGGCAAUGGAGCUGCAAAAGUCGGUUCAUCCUUUUACUAUAUUCAAGUGUAGAUGCCCAUGCUUUGCAUAGGUUGGAUGUGAAUUACAUAGCAUAAGCAUACAACACAAUUUUAAUAGAAAAAAAAUUGAAAAAUUAAAUGGACUCAAAGAAAGUAAAAUACAUUUAUAUUCAUCUGUAGUUUGUGAUACUUUUAGCAGCUUCCGAUAUAUUUUGAUUGAGUCUGUACUAAUUUUCUACAAUAAAAAUAAAUCAAUAUAAUGACAUUUAGUUUAUUAAAAUAAAUAAAGCCGACUUAUACGAUGAUAUAAUAAGGAAACAGAAAGCAUUUUUACCAUUUAGGUUAGUUUCGGUCAUGGCCAUUUUGGUAAAAAUGACCAUUUUCAUCAUUUUGCUCAUCAUCUUUAUGAUUCCAUAUAUUUAUUUGCUUUUCUGAUUGUGAAAGGUGUCUCCCCACAUCAUCCUAAAUCAAUGCAACAACAAAAACAUACGAAACAAUUUGAUCAAGUUAAGAUGACAUCUAAACUUGUAGCAAAAGAGCCAAACACUUGAAGUCAUUCCUUUGUGGUAUCAAGAUUAUCAACAACAUCAGCCUUUCAGCUUGAUACAUCAAUAAAAAAAAUAAUAAAAUAUUUAAAAAAUUAUAUGUCUAGUAAAAGUAAAUGAUCCCAUUGUCUAAUUAAACAUAGUAUGUUGAUUAACAAUAUACUAAUCUUAAAAAAGUUGAAUGCAUAACAUUGAUGUGAGAAACCAUUAAGCGGUGUAAAUUUAAAUGAAAAGUGUCAUGAAUAAUCACAUCCAAAAGCAAAAAUAAUAAAAAAAUAAAUCGAUUUAUAUAUAAUGAAAAGUAUUUCAUCUCCAUUAAAAAGCACCACAAAAAAUAUAGCAUGAAAACAUUUAAGCAUUUUCACCUUACUUUUGAACUCCUAAGAUUUUCCAUGUAUCCAUGAUCAACCAUGGUUUUCUUCUACGUAUGCACACAAAAUUGUAAACCCAUAAAACCAAAAAAACCCAAACAAAAACCAAAAAAAAAUGAAGAUUUCGGAUUAAUUAGAAUAAGAAAAGGAUACAAAAGAAAAAAAAAAAACUACAAAAUAUUUUGGAACAUCAAAAUCCAACCUGUAUUGCAACUCUUUCACCUUCGAUGAAAGUUCAGACUUCUGUUCUUUAUAAUUCUGACUCGAAGAUGUAGGAUAUCCACCAACACCCUGAACAAAGCAAACAUGUUUGUUUUUUUUUUUUAUUUUGAUGCAAAAUCUAUAGAAUAAAACCAUCUUUAAUGAACCCCGGCAGCGGUAUUAAUGGCAACACGCUCAACAUGAGCUCUGUAAGCAUCUUUGUUUUUCUCCUUUCAGAAGCAAACAUAUCCUAAUCAUAAAAAAAUACUAUUAAUACACAAAAACACUCACUAAUAAUCAGAAAAUAUAAUUUUUGGCUUACCUUUAGAAGAGGAACAUGUGGAUUUUCUUGACCAGGUAACAAUGACAAAAAUACCCUUGUACAUUAUCUGAUGGCAAACAUGAUCAAUAUGUUUGUUAAAUAAGUUUUGACAUAGGAUAAAGAUCAAGUUUAUGUUCUAAAUGAAUCACAAAACCGGAUUAAAUCACACAAUGAAGAUAACAUAAUUCUCUUUGAAAAGAAGUUAUCUGUGACAAGCUUUGACCACACCCGUAAAACGACAAUAUUCGUGAUCUCAUUAACUAUAAAAAUCUGGAUUUGCAAGAAUUGCGGCUCUUUGGUCAGGAAUGACAACCCUUGAAAUGACAACAAAUUUGAAUAGUUUAAAAUUCAAAAAAAAAAACUUGCAGGAUUUCAUAAUCUAGCAGUAUCAUAAGUUGGUCAAAAUUGAAGACUUUCUUGGUUUAUCAUAUAAGAAAAAAAAUUAUAUUUAAUACAAAAACUGGAAAAAGUAACUCUAAUUAGAUGAAUCCCUAAUUGGAUGUUGAGUAGAAAGGAAACCCCUAAUUACAAUGAUAAUAAAAAAACAAUUCCAUCAGUCAAUUUACUUACCCAUGCUUAUAUUCAAACACAUUCAUAAAUCAAAUUCAAGAACACACUUAAACAAACACGAAAUUGAAAGCAAAUAGAAAGAGGGAUGACCAGUCGUCACCUUGGAAAACCAUAAAUUUCAUUAUCUGAAAAAUAGUCAGUGGAUUCAAUCAUUAAAAAAAUAUAAAAAGGCGGAUGAAAUAAACAAAGAAAAACAUAAAAAUAGACUAAACAAAACCCAAACAUACCUCAUCAACUGGAAUUUGACGGGAACACAUUAAUAUUUACAAAUUUGUGUUUUAAAGUCAGCCUAGAAAAGUGGAGGAUAUUGAAGCAAAAAAAUCAAAGAAGCAAAUGAAAAAAUCAAUGCCCCUUACCUAAUGGAAGCGAUGGUACAGAAACUGGAAGGUAGGAACUAACCGGUUGUUAGAAUUUUUUCCGCGGUAACCCUCUCAGUAGAAGUGAAUACAUAAAAUUAAUUUCACGGAAUUGCAGAGUGAAGAAAUAAAAUCAGUUUUGCAAAUGACUUCCAUAUCAAUCAACUUCAGAAUCGUUAAUUUGGAAACAAAAAAGCGCAGGUCGCUGGAUGUAGUCAAUGACUAUGAUUGUGAGAUCCUUUACCAUCCUGGUAAAGUGAAUGUGGUUGCGGACUCUUUGAACCGCAAGUCAGCUGGGUCAUCUACCCUAGCAAGUUGUAUCAGGAUAACGGUGGAUUCCCCGCAUGUGAGCUUGAUUAGGGAUGCUCAGGUUGAGGGCAUGAGGCCAGAGAACUGGAAGUUGGAAAGGAUUAAGGGCGAGGGCACCCCGUUGGUUCAGGAUAGUCGCGGAUUAUUGACUAGACACGGUCGGGUUUGGGUUCCGAUGUCCGGAGGGUUCCGGCAGACACCGAUGGCGGAGGCUCAUAAGUCUCACUUUUCUAUACACCCGGGGGCCACCGAGCUGUACCGCGAUCUGAGUUUGAGUUAUUGGUGGCCCUGUAUGAAGCGAGAAAUCGCUUGGUAUGUUGAGAGGUGCCUGACCUGUAGGAUGGUCAAGGCCGAGCAUCAGAGGACGCAUGGUAAGCUGCAGCCUCUGGAGAUUCCCAUGUGGAAAUGGGAGCAGAUCACGAUGGACUUCAUUACGAAGUUACCGAGGACGACGAUGGGGUUCGAUGCUAUAUGGGCCAUCAUGGAUCGAUUGACCAAGAGUGCCCAUUUCUUGGCUAGACGGGAGAGUUCGUCGGCUGAGAAAUUGGCCGACAUGUACGUCAACGACAUUGUCUCUCACCAUGGGGUUCCAGUCUCCAUCGUUUCCGAUCGGGAUGUCAGGUUUACUUACCAUUUUUGGCAGAAGUUCCAUGGGGAACUGGGUACGUGGCUGCACUUUAGUACAGUGUUCCAUCCGCAGACCGAUAAAUAGAGUGAGUGAACCAUUCAGACCCUCGAGGAUAUGCUGAGGGAGUGCGUCGUUGACUUUGGUGGGAGUUGGGAUUCUCACCUACCACUUGCAGAGUUCGCCUACAACAACAAAUAUCAUUCCAGUAUUGGCGUUGUGCCGUUUGAGCUGUUGUUGUUGGAUUAAUGUCUAAGUCCAUAACUAUAAUUGGUAAGACUUGACCCGACCCGGCAUGGUCCAUUUGGGUUGCAUACCAUCAUGCACUUGGAUAGACUAUAAUGAGAGAAAUAAGACACUUAUGGUUAUUAAUAUAUUAUAAGUUCUAGUAUAUUAAUAAUAAGAAUAAUAAGAUUAUUUAAUUAGUAUUGAUCAAGAAUUAAUCUAGGAUUAAUUAAGUGAUCAAAAGAAGACUAAUUAAAUAUAUGGGUUGAUUGUGUAAAUCAUCCAUACUUGUAUAGUGGGCUAAUGGUCCAUGGAUAAUCAAGUUGGGCUAAAACCCAUAGGAUGAUCCAUGGAUGCUCCAUGGUGUAUUUGUACCCAUGGAUCCAAGGAAAUGGAAAGCCAUGACAAUUAAGAGUUUACCCUAAUUGUGUAACUAUAUAAGCAUCUUAUUAUUGAGGAAAAAUCGGCCACUAGAGAUAGUGAAGAAAGGGCUAGCCGAUUUUGAUGAGUGUAGAAUUCUCUCAAGUCAUUCUAAGUGUUUUGAUGAUUGUGAUUCCAUUUGAGGUGUCACACUUGGGGCACUAGGCACUCAAGCUUCAUGAAGACUUUCUACACCAAAGAGGUAUGUAUUCUAUCUUGCUAUAGUUAUUGUUUUGUAUGCUAGAUUAGGAUAAUACCUUGGAAGUUCUUAUUUGCAUGUAUAAUAGAGAAAACAUAGAUCCAAGGUAUUUAGGGUUGCAUGUACACUUAGGAAGUGUUAGAAUGCUCAAAACCCAACAGUGGUAUCAGAGCCACGGGUUGUUUUCUGUUAUAUUGAUGCAAAUAUUUUAUUUUCAAAGUUGAAAAAAAAAAAAAAAAAAAACAUGAAGUUUGUCAAAUUUUAAGAUAAUUACUUGUUCUUGUGAAAAACUAAUUAUUUGUAAAAUUUGAAUAAUUUGCUUUAUGAGUUGAAUUAGGUCAAAUUUAAUAAAAGAUAAAAUAAUAUGAUUAUUUUAUUAGUUUUAAAAGUUUGAUCUAAAGAGUUUUAUUUUUUGAAACCUCCAUAAGUUAUGGAUAUGAAAAGGUUUUAAAAAAAAAAUUGAUUCAAAGUUUUUUUGGAGUUACAAAAUUUGGUGUUAAUGUUUUAAAGGAUUCCAUAACUUAAGAAUAAGUUAUGGAUCACCAAAAGUUUUUUGUGUUACCUUGUUUUAUGAGUGAAUUUAGAUUAAUGAAUAAAAUUAUGUGAUAGUUGGUUUUAAUCCAAAUUAAUCUAAGAAUUGAUUCUAAAAUGUGUUUUUGUAACUUGUCCUCAAGUUAUAUGAAAAGUCACAUUUAAGAAUCAUAAAACUCAUAAAAAUUGGCAAAGGUUACAAAAAUGAAGAGUCUAGUUCUAAUUAAAUGGUUUUAUGACUCCAUAACUUGUCCUCAAGUUAUGGAGGACCAAGAGUCUCUUCAUUUAAUAAAAUAAAAUAAAAAAAAAAAAAGUGUAACCUUAAUUAAUUCCAUAAGUUAUAAAAUAAAGAAAAGUUAAUUCUUUUAUUAGUUUAAAGUCUUCCAUAACUUGUCCUCAAGUUAUGGAACUUGAAGAGUUUUUGGAUUAAAACUACUUUAAACACAUAAGUUAUGGAAUUAAUUAGUUUUGAAUAGUUUCAAAACUUGCCCUCAAGUUUUGGAAUUUGUAAAGUUUUCACUUAUGAAUACUUUAAUUCCAAGUUAGCCCUUAGAAUUUUAAAAGUUAAAAUUCAACCCUUAUACUUUAUAAUAUUAUAAGUUAAUAAUAUAUAUAUGUAUAAGAGUAAAGUCAGUCUUACCGCUAGUACGCCUCAUUCACGAAGCCGGUCUAUAAGGUGGGUAUAAGGUUGUUGCCUAUAAAAUGGCAACUUAAUGGGUGUCCACUCUCACCCACCGCUUGCUUGACUGGUGGAGGGUCGUUAGCCGAACGGGUUUGACAGGACUAGAAUUCUCCCUUCAUUAAAAGUAUUAAUGAUAAUACUAAGUAACUAAACUCUUAAUAAUACCCAAUCUUAGUUACUUAGGAAAAAUGUGAAUAAGGUGCUAAUCCAUGAAAUUACACUUUACACUUUGUCUAAGUCGUUAGUGGAGCGUGUGUGGUUAACCGGCACACUAACUUGGACUUAACAAGGUAGGUAAAGGGUGACUUAAUAUUUAUCAUAGUAUCGAUGGAGCGUGUGUGGUUAACCGGCACAUCGAUUGAGGGGUAAUUUAUUAAGGGUACCAAGUGAUUUGCAUGGUUACUUCACACCUUGUUUUGUGAUCCUCGGCAUCCCAGUCACAAAACCUGAAGGGCACACUCGAGAUUGAAACAUGCCUUUGAACAGUUCAAUGAAUCUCAAAGAUCUAGGAGUUUCAAAACCAAUUAAAACCUAAUAAUACAUUUCGUUUAUCUUGGUGGAAAUUGGUGAAUCGUCAUUCACCUACCUUCAAAUAUUUUAUAGCUUGGAUUACGGCAUACCUCUUCUAAGUUAUAAAAUAGUUUGUUGGGUCCUAGCCUUAAUAUUUCAUAUUGGGUGUCAUAUUAAGGACUUUAAAUCAACUAUCUUGAAUAUCUCCCAAAAGAUGUCUGGUUUAGACACCUAUGAUCUUCCCAAAUCUCUUGAAACAAGGUUUCCUAAUGAAGAUGAUGUCCCAUGGAUAUCAUACUUCUUUCUCCUCCUCCAAUUAUUCUCCCUAACCCACAAGUUCUUGAAAAGUUUAAGGUCACUCAAGCCCUAUUGGCAAGGCAAGGUCUAGGUGUGAUCACAUCUUGGAGAUGUAGUCACAUAUUGACAAGCCGGGAGAGUUGGGUGUCAAAGUCUUGAGAAAGUUGGUGGUUCAAUCACUUUCUAAGUCACAUAGUGAGUUCCUUUGGGACACCUAUGAAACAGACUAUGACAAGACCCUUAAUGAUCUUAUCUAUUUGCUAAGAUCAACUUCCUAAAACUUUAUGGACAUUGACAAUGAUGACAUUGGAUAUCCAGUAAAGCAUUCUCUUCCCAAUGGAAAGGGAUCGGCCAUAGUCAACUCGGUUGACCAAAUGGUAAAGAGAAAAGCUAAGUCUGUGAUAGUCUCGUGUACCAUUAUCAAAGGGUCCAUAUGUUUAUAUUGCCAAAGGAAGGGGCAUUGGUUGCGAAGCUGCCAAAUUUACCUAAGGAUGUUAAAGUCAAUAAGUUUGACUCUACUUCAGGUAAAGUCCACUAUCUAACUCUGUUAAGUUUCUAUUCUGAGAUUCCUGAUACAUGAUGUGACUGGGUCACAUGGUGAUGUUUUAAGAAUCAAAGAAAAGUGAAGAAACUUAAAGAAAGAAUAUGCUGAAUCUGAUGGCGUAGAUGGAUUUCUAUCGCAUAGUUUGAAGAUCGGAUUCUUGAGCAACUUCUUAGGAGUUAUGAGAUAUUGCUUAGGAAUAGAUAACAACAAGUUUUCAUAUGGAUUGUAAGGAUAAGUUUUUCCGCAAAGUUUUAAAAUAAAAGAAAAUUUUUGAUUUUAUUUAUUUUAAAAUAUCCUUACAAUGGCAUUUGAGGAAAAAUUGUUGCUUAUAUGAUUCCAUUAAUAGCAAGAGUGGAAAUAUGAAAUUGAUUCUUUCAUUUGUGGUAAUGUCUAGAUUUACCAAAUAAGGAAAGAUUCUCAUCACCCAAGUUUCAAUUGGACCGGAACUUGGAAUCAUGCAAGUUGUAUAGCAUGAUGAAUGAGAACUUUCAAGUUUUGGAAAAUUAAGACUAAUUACUCGGCCACAUGGAUGUGUGAGUCAAGUAAAGGACUAAGGGAUCGAGUACACAUUCUUGUGCACUGAUUAAGUCCACCACAAAAGAUUGAUAAGACUAUUCGUCAUAGUUUACUAAAGCUCAGUAAAUAUGAUUAUACUUACAAGCUUAAGUGUAACUCUGAGACAUUGGAAAAGGUUCCAAUGUAUGGCAGAGCGAAUAAGAAGAAUCAAAUUAGGCAGAAGGAUAAAAGUUUCUCAAAUCUGAAAAGAUGGGAGAGUACUUUAGUAUCAGUUUUGUGAUCAUCUUAAUGAUUAAGAAACCAUAUCAAAAUUAGUUCUCUAAGGAAAUCUUAGUGCAUUCUUAUGACUAAGAAGAGGAACUUGAAUUGUUGAAAUGGUUAAAUCAAGAAGAUGAGUCAUACUUCGUUCCAAUACAAGUCUUAGAGUCAUACUCCAAGAUUGUAACUUGAGUGACAUGUCUUAAAGAAGGUUUAAAACACUUGUCAAAUGUAAGAGUAAAAGUUUUCUACUCUUGUACAUUUGAAAUUGGUAAGUUGUGAUGUUUUGGAUAAAACAAAGACCAACUUAGGCCAAUUGUGUGAAGUGUUUGUCUUGAUUAGAAUCCACACUAUCUCUUGGAUAUUUGACAAGGGAGUCUUAUAGGUCAAGAGGUCAGUGGGAGUCUUAAAAGUCUUGAAAGUCUCAAGAACUAAUCAAGAAUAAAACCUAAAGUUCUUCACUAGCACACAACUUGAGGUUCAUAACCUAUCGUGUUGACAUAUUCUGUGCCCAUUCCAGUUAAAGUUGGUUUUGCAUAUGAGUUCUUAGAGUUCUCAAUUUGUUGCACAACAACUUGGAAGCAAUGGUAGGCCCUUGAGCUGCCAGGUGGCAAGAAAUUAAGAUUGAGUUCAGUCCAUAUGAGUUUGGAUUUGUCAUUAUCCUUGUCUUGUGACUAUGGUUUUGACAAUUCACAUGGAUAAGAACACAUACACCAUUAAAUCUAAGUGUCAUAAGGUUUCUCUCCGAUUCAUGAAAAUGAUGGUGAGGAAACACUUUCACUAAGUAGAUUUUAGCUAGAUAGCAAUUGUGAUAUUUGCAUUCUCAAAGUCGUUAGUGGAGCGCGUGUGGUUAACCGGCACACUAAUUUGGACUUGUGAGAAGUGGCAAAAAGGUCUAAACAUUAUGAUUACGGCAUCCCUCUUCAUAAUUGUUUAGAUACACAAGUGUGCUAUCUAAGGGAAGGUGUAUGAUUUUGAUACAGCUUUAUCAAAACAAUCUAGCAUCAGAAAUCUGAACUUUGGUAAGAAAGUCAAUGAAGUAUUGAUUUCUAGAAGUCCAGCUGAUUUCUGAGUACAUGUCAAAGCUAGUGGGAGCAUAAGUGUUAUGCUAAUAAUCAUCAUGUUAGUGGGAGCAUGAUAAUUAUGAUAAGUAUUGCAAGUUAGCAAUGUUAAUUAUAGAAAACAAAAGUUUCAAUUGGGAAAAAGUUGUUUUGCUAUAAUUAAGGGAGAGGAAAUUAUACUUCAUCUCAAAUCUAUAAGCUUAGAUCGUGAGGUUUUAAUCAUUUAGUCAAGGAUAUAUAUGAAUUUCAUGUUGGAAUGGCUCAACAUAAGGAAAUUCUGUAUAUGGGUCCAUUAUUUGCGUUCUAAAAUUCGAUUAUGAUUACGGCAUCCCUUUUCAUAAUCUGAAUUAUGAGAACUUGGCAAAUUGAAAUGGAAAUAUUAUAGCAAAAGACUGGUUUAGUCUUUAUGUAAGACAUCAUGAAUCGUGUCCCAUAUGCUUCGGAUAUAGGAUCGAUUACAUGUGCUAUAUUCAUCCGUUCUAAAAUUUUCCAAAUGCCUGGGGCAUUAAGAAGGGAAAAGGUUUAGAACUGGAUAUGACUAAAAGGAUUAAACAAUUGUCGAGGACAAUCUAAGGUUUACCAAAGAUUGGUUGCUCAAGGACAGUUGGAAGUAUAGUGAUAAUUCUGGAAGGACCAUAUUGACAUAAUCUGUAAGGAGGCAACUCUUGUUCAGAAGUGAUAGUCAAAAUGGAAUCUGGAAAUGUUUCAAAGUUAGAAUUUUCAAUCUGUUUAAGAUUAGGAAACUUAAUGCAAGAAGGAUGUUUCCAAGGAGCUGAUCUCCUUUGGAAUACUCUGUAAUGAUUGUUGUCAAGUCUUUCUGACUUUGUGCAUAAUCAUUACAAGAGGAUCAAUGCAUAUAAGUUUAGAAUCUAACAGAUUUCAGUAAAUGGCAUGAAUUUGGAAUUCUUGCAUUUGCAGUAAGGAUUUGGGAGUGUGAAAAGAGAAUCAUUGAAGUUAUGUUCAAUUGAUCUAGUUCACAAAGUAAAGAUCAUAGACAAACAUAGUAUGCAUACUUGGUGUGUGGCAUGACUAGUGUUUAAGAAAACAUAGUGUACAUGCUUGGAGCAUGGGACAACUAUUGUUUUAAAUUCAAGAAUAAAGUUGAUAGCUGAAACAGUAUACAAUGAAUAAUGUGUAAUCAUAUGGUGAUAAAUAAAAGGUGUUUUAUUUAUGUUCAAAGGGUUGAUACCAUAUUGGAUUCAAUUAUUAUUGUGUUUCACUUUGCAUGUUUUGACUUCCCGAAUAAACUGGGUUAUUCUUCCGGAAUGACUAAGUUAUUCAAACCAUCCACAGUCGGUCAUAUGUUGGAAGUAGAUAUGAAUUAAGACUGUCAUGAUGGGUUGUAGAGGUCUAAGGUGUUGGACAAGGCUACAACAAUCAUGAGUGCUCAUAAGUUCUGAGUAUUGGAUUCAACCCGCGCUCAUUGGAAUCACUUCAUGGAUUUUAUCACGAGUGAUCAUGAGACGAUAAUAUCUUAUAUUCUUCAAACCUAGAGAUAUGAGUUGUUACUAUGAGUUGAUAGUACAUUGAUUGCACGAAAACGCAUUUGGUAACUCGGUGCUAUAAAACGUGCCUUUGUGUAUGAUUCAACAAGUAGUAGAACAAGCCAUAUGAGUCGAAGUUUAUCCGUUCCUUUUACCUUCGGGAUAAAAGCGAUAUCUGUGGGCCCCUCGAUGAUUUGAUGAUGACAAAUGGAAGUGCUCGGCCGGGCCAGGACUGAUUUGAUUUGUUCAAUUAGUCAGUCGUCAUAAAUCGGAAAUCGGGAAACAACAAAUGGACAGAGAGAAUGAUUAUAAUCCAUGUCUCAGUCCAUAUGAUAUCUAGAAUGGAGGAAUAUAUGAUCCCUUAUCUAAUGGACAAGUCACUGACAAAGGUCAGAGUUCAUCUACAAGGUCAGAGUUCGACAGAAGCUUUUGAGAGCUACGAUUGCCGGUUGGUUCCUGAAGUCAUACGCAAUAAUAGUUUUAGACUUAUCCAAGUGGGAGACUGUUGGAUUAAUGUCUAAGUCCAUAACUAUAUUUGGUAAGACUUGACCCGACCCGGCAUGGUCCAUUUGGGUUGCAUACCAUCAUGCACUUGAAUGAGAGAAAUAAGACACUUAUGGUUAUUAAUAUAUUAUAAGUUCUAGUAUAUUAAUAAUAAGAAUAAUAAGAUUAUUUAAUUAGUAUUGAUCAAGAAUUAAUCUAGGAUUAAUUAAGUGAUCAAAAGAAGACUAAUUAAAUAUAUGGGUUGAUUGUGUAAAUCAUCCAUACUUGUAUAGUGGGCUAAUGCUCCAUGGAUAAUCAAGUUGGGCUAAAACCCAUAGGAUGGUCCAUGGAUGCUCCAUGGUGUAUUUGUACCCAUGGAUCCAAGGAAAUGGAAAGUCAUGACAAUUAGGGUUUACCCUAAUUGUAACACUAUAUAAAGAUCUUAUUCUUGACAAAAUUGGCAACUAGAAUCACACUUGUGUGUGAAGUGAAAGGGCUAGCCGAUUUUGAUGAGUGUAGAAUUCUCUCAAGUCAUUCUAAGUGUUUUGAUGAUUGUGAUUCCAUUUGAGGUGUCACACUUGGGGCACUAGGCACUCAAGCUUCAUGAAGACUUUCUACACCAAAGAGGUAUGUAUUCUAUCUUGCUAUAGUUAUUGUUUUGUAUGCUAGAUUAGGAUAAUACCUUGGAAGUUCUUAUUUGCAUGUAUAAUAGAGAAAACAUAGAUCCAAGGUAUUUAGGGUUGCAUGUACACUUAGGAGUGUUAGAAUGCUCAAAACCCAACAGUUGUAUGGUCGGAGAUGUAGAACACUAGUGUGUUGGGGUGAGGUCGGACACAGGGUAAUGGGUCGGACGGAGGUAGUUUUGCAAGCUACCGAGAAGAUACAGAAGAUUAGACAGUGAUUGCAGAUCGCUCAGAGUCGGCAGAAAAGUUAUGCCGAUAGACGCCGAUCUGAGUUGGAAUUUCAGGUGGGUGACAUGCUACUCCUGAAGGUCUCUCCCUGGAAGGGUGUGAUCCGCUUCAGGAAAAAGGGAAAAUUGGGUCCCCGAUAUAUUGGGCCGUUCGGGAUUAUUGCCAGGGUUGGCAAAGUGGCUUAUAGGCUUGAGCUUCCGGAGGAUCUUAGCCGGAUUCACAUCAUGUUCGAUGUUUCGAAAUUGUGAAAGUUCAUUAUGGACCAGGAGGCAGUGGUAUCGCUGGAUGAUAUCCAGGUCGAUGAGCGCCUGAAUUACGUGGAGAGCCAUGUGGCCAUUUUGGAAAACAAGAAGAAGAUUUUGCAGAACAAACAAAUACCUUUCGUGAAGGUGCAGUGGGAUCAUUGGAGGGGAUUCGAGUAGUCAUGGGAGCCGGAGGCAGAGAUGCGCGAGCAUUACCUGACAUUGUUUAUUCCAGCAAACUUCGAGGGUAAAGUCUAGUUCAAGUGUGUCACACCCCCGAAACAGACGAUGGAAAUGUCCGAGGGCUCGCUUGACUUAAAUUGAAGAUCGUCACAAUGAAUAUACAUGAAUCAUAACAUAAACAUCACCAUGCAUCAAUAUAGUACAACUGAAAUUGUUCACAUCAAGUAAAUUGUUUUAACACUACACAUUCAUAACCUACAUAGUUUGAGUACAUUUAACAACAUAACAUCUAACAUUACUUCUUAUAACUCUUCUACUUACCUGUUACUUGAGAAUACAAGUUAUUUUGGAAAAACGUCAACAUAUGAAAUGUUGGUGAGUUCAUAAGCAAUGUUGUGAUAAAAUGAUUUGUUUAUUUUGUAAAACUCAGAAAAUCCGAUAUUUUCUGAAAAGACUUUUCUUUAUCAAAUUGUGAGAUCCAUAAGUUGAUGCAUGAAUGAUUUUAAAUAUAUAUAUAUAUAUAUAUAUAUAUAUAUAUAUAUAUCAAGAUGAUAAUUANAUAUAUAUAUAUAUAUAUAUAUAUAAAGGGUAUUUUGUAUUAUAGUUAUAAUAUUUCGAACGAGUAGUAUUGAAUUCCCUGGAAAAACCCGAUGUUUUCCCGAUGUUGAAAUGUAUUCGUGAUUACUGAUUUUUGUAUUGUCUGAAUGAAUGAAUAUUGAAUUAAUCCAUAUUGUAUAUCGUCCUAAUUUUGUCUACUUUGAUUUCUCGUAAACCUUAACAAAUGAAGAGGAGGGGAGUAUUAUGUCCAACUACUAUCGUAAGUUCCUUCGGCUGUCGUGGAUGCAAAAGACACGAUGGUCCAACUCGCAUUUGAUUACUGUGACUUUAUUAGCUUUUCUAGCGAGACACUUUGGCCCACUAGCACUCAAAGAUAUUGAAAGUUCUUUUAUAAAAUAUUGGGUCAUUAAAGGCCCAAUAACAUAUAAGCGUUAUCCCUUUAGGCCCAAAGAUCAUGUUGGUGGGCUUGCAAGUCCCAACAAGCAUAAUUUGAAACUCAUAAGCCCAAAGUUUGUAGAUUUACUCAUUGUAGUCAUCACGUAUCUAUUGAAGUGUUUUGAUUUAACGUUUGUUGUUUUGUAUUGAUUCGAGACCGAAUCAAUUCGUUUAUAACGAUAUUUGGUAUUGAAGGUGUAUUUGUUUUUCGUUUUGUCGCUAGCCGGAUAUCUUGUAUGUUGUCUUAAUGAAUUAAUUUCUUUAGAGGUAUGACUUUGACCCCUUUCACUACCUUUCUUUUAUAAAAAUAACACUUUUAGUCCUUUAUAUAAAAGAAUUUCAUUUUUAGUCCUUAAAAACAUUUUCUUGACACUUUUGUAUCAUAAACUUGUUGAAAAGACAUUUUUAACCCAAAUUAUAUUUAGUAAACAGUUUUAGGCCUUCCAGAAUGGUGUUUCUCGGUUAGAACCCCAAAUUUCGGAAUUUUUACAGUUUUGGCCCAAAAUACAAAAGUUUACAUUUUUUAUCCUUUUUGGAGUUUAAAAGCAUUUUUGACCUUAGAAAUAGUUUUAUUUCACUUCAUGUCCCCUGUUUUACAGCAUGUUACAAUUCAGCCUCUUAAAAACUUCAAUUUUUGCAAUUUUUGGCUUGUUUGGCCGAAAAGCCCAUAUUUAGCCCAAUAACUCAAAUUUUUGCAUUUUAAGUCCUUUGAAAAUUCUAAUAUUCAGAAAAAUAAUUAUAAAAACUGUUUUGUCUCUUUUGACCCUCAAGAAAUAGUGAUUUGGUAGUUUUUACCCCAAGUUUUGACUUUUUAACAUUUUAAGUCCUAAAAUGAGUUUUAUGUUAAAGUAUGUUCCUCAUAACCUUAUAAGCUAUUUUUCUUGACAUGAUUAGUGUAAAAUAACUUAGAUUAUGUUUGUUUCCUUUCUCAUGUCAUAGAUCUCAAAUUAUCACCCCUUUUGUUACAUAUUGAUCGCACAAACAUAUAACAUCACACACAUACAUGCAUAAAAUCACACAUAGCAUACACAUACACAUAGAUCUACAAAUUUUCUUGUAUUCUCCAACAUAAAACAUAUGAAAACCGAAAAUAGAGGGGUAUGAAGCUCACCUUGAGUUGUAGUUUCGGUUUUGAAGAAGACUAGAAGAAGAAAUUUCGAUCUUAGCAAGUCUUCUUGGUAAAUCUCGAACUUAGAUGCUUCUAAGGUGCAUGAUCACAAGAUUGAAUGGAUUUAGAAGAGAUUUUUGGAUGAAAUGAAGUUGCUAGAUCAUGGAUCCAAACAUAAACUUACCUUGGCUAGAUCAUGGAUCCAAACAUAAACUUACCUUGAGAGAAUUUUGAGUGAAGUGUGUAUGUGUGUGUGUGUUUGGGUUCGGCCAAGAGGAAGAAAGACAAGAGAGAAGAGAGAGUGAGUGAAGGGAUGGUUGCUUGGAUACAUGAGUUAUUUGCAUGGAGAACCAAGAAACAAUGGUGAGGUGGCAAGCAAAAGUCAACUUCUCCUUCCUUGUGUAGUUGGGCCGAGAAGAGGAGAAGAAAGAAGGAAAGAAUUGGGCUUUGGAGUGUUUAGCCCAUAUUAUGGUUAUGUUGAAUGAUUUUUGGUCCAAUAAAAAUCAAGGAAUGAUUUUUUAUCGCCUAUUAGAGCUAAUAUAAAUUUGUUUUGGUCCAAUAAGGCCCAUUAAAGUUAAUCUAAUUUAUUUAGGGUUCAUAAGGACCGAAAAUGUUAAGUUUCAUGUAUAUGGGUCCAAUUAGGGCCCAUUAGAGAGUUCUAGAUUCAAGAUGGAUAAAUUGGAAGCUUAUAGUCCGUUAGGCCCAAUAAGGAAAUCCUAGUCCAAAGUGAACUCAAAUUGGAAUUUCAAAGGUUUCCAAUUCUUUGUUGACCAUUUGUAGGGCUAGAAUGAAGUAUUUGAUGAAGUUUUGUUGUUAUAGAAUAAGCAUCAUGCAUGCUUUCAUGUUAUUGAUUCAUAGUUGUUUUAAGUUUUAUAAUUACAAGGCACCAAAAUUCCUAGUUGUGACAAAGUGGGGGAGAAUUGUAACGCCCCGAUUCUCAGGUAUUGAUUUGAAUGAAAAUUUAUUUGGUUUUAACACCAACUCGACGAGUUGGUUGCCCUACUCGUCGAGUAGUAACGGGUUGGAUCGCGUAUUUAUUGAACUACUCGCCGAGUCUAGGAAGGAACUCGACGAGUGGGAGCUGGCAGAUGAAACCCUAAAUCACGGGGUUCUGCACUCUAUUUAAGGAAGCAUAAGCCUCAUUUGGCCUCUUUGCAGUCCUUGAGAGCUCGUAGAAACCCUAAUUCGUGUGGUGCUUCAUUCUUUUUUGUUUUGAGCUUGGGAAGAAGGUUUUUGGAAAGGAAGAAUUUGGAGAGCAUGAGGAUAGGAGCAAGGAAGGUGUGGGAAUCCUAGAUCUACCUCAGUUAGCAUCAUUUGAAGGUAUCAAGUCGUCACAUUUUCCUCUUUUUGCUUCUAGAUCUCAUUUGGUGGAGAUCUAGGGUUUUUAUGGUUUGAAUGAGAUGAUAUUGUGAGAUAUGAGCUAGAUCUAAAGUUGUAACUUCAUAUAUGGAUCCUUCUUGGGUUCUAGAGUCAUAAAGCUCCGAUUUUAGCCUUGUAUGAAGUCUUCCUCGGGUAUGAAACCCCAUUAUGAGCUCGGAUUUGUCAUUAAGAGCCUUUUUAGCCAUGCAUGGACGUAAAGUUUGCAACUUUACGUGAAAAACAUGCCUUAGUGUCACAACCCCGAACCGUCAGGAAAACAACGACGGAAAUGUCCGAGGGCGGCGACGUCAUACAUAGUAUCACAACAAUCGUAUCAUAGCAAGCUUAGUAAACACAACCAUUACAUUACAAUAUAAAUAUUUACAUCUGUUCGAAAACAAAGUAGGUACAUAGUAUUAUAUAACAGAAGAUAAAGACGAGACUCCAAAAAUGCUCCGUCUUCUCCAAAAGUUGGCUAAGUACCUGUCUAUCAUUGUCCUGAGAAUACAAGCGAUUUUGAAAACAUAUCAGCAUAAAGCUGGAGAGUUCAUAAGCAUGUUUUUGUAUUGAAAACUAGUCACUGAGUUUGUCUAAGUAGUUUCUUUCCAUUAUAGGUAAAUAUCGUUUGUAUCGAAAGCCGUUAUUAACAAGUUCUGAAAUAUGAAUGCAUGCUUACCAAGAAAAUCCAAUAUUUUCUAACAUGUUUUUCGGUUUCUGAAUGAAAGGUACGUUCUGUUUGAAAACCCUGGUUACCACCAGUAUGUAUAGUAGUUUUAUUACUUAAAAUAAAACUAUAGACUUUAUCCCUGGAAUACCCUCCAGUAAGUAGUUAUGUAGUUUUAUUAGUCAAAAUAAAACUAUAGAAGAAUGAAAUCCCGUAAACAAUGAUUAGUUUAUACUUAUUGUGAGUCGUAUAACCAUACUAAUUUGACCUGUGACCUCCUUGACGUUCUUCAGGCGUCGUACGAUUAAUAAAUUUGUCACCCCAGGCGUGCCCGCCUAACUGUAGCUAACAGUUUAGGUGUGGGAUUGUUGGUCCCGAAUAGAUCUAUUCACAAAUUUCACACUCUCCCUCCAGGAGACUCUGGUUAUACUACCGGUGAGGAUUUAUUGGUACCCCGAGGGGCAAAACAAAGAUAGUAUCACAAUCUUGUGUUAGCUAGUUUACGUGUUUGUUCGGUUGUUCUCGAGUUCGAAUUCGUUUGUAACGGUAUAGAGUAUAAAUAAUUAUACAUAAAAUAAUUAUUUAGCAUGAUACUCUAGUUUUGUAUUCGUAGUAAUGGAUAAACUAAAUCUGACAUAGUUUAUAUAUUUGACUUUGCGUGAAGUUUGAACCUGUAUGACUGGUAAGUAAAUCCCAAACUAUACCUAUUAUAGUUUGAAUGGUUGUUACGUUCGGGUAUGGUUUUGAAAACUAUGCAAUUAUGAAUUGAAAGCAUCCCUUAUGCUCCGCGUAAUACAAGAGGGAUAAUUGUAUCUAAAUGUUUGAUAGUAUAUCAUUGUAAUUGCAUCAGUUUUUAAGUUAUGAAAACCUCUAUGUUUAGCUUGUAUUCCCCCCCCCCUCUGAAAACAUGAAAAACUCGGAAAAGUGUAGGGGUAUGAACACACUGUUUAACGUAGGAUUCGCGUGUACAAUCGAUAUGAAUGCGGUGUGUUAAUGGAUGUUCUGAACGUAAAUGGACCCUAUUAAUCAUAUGGUAACACAUAUAUGUAUUAGAUUAGGGUAUUUCAUGAUUAAUCAUGACGGGAAACCAUCCUAAGGUCUUGGAAUUGUUUGAACUAAGUGCUCUAGGUUCCACACGUAGUGAUCCUUGUAAGUUUAAGGCCAAGUAUGAGCAUUAGAGUGGGUGUAUGGCCAUAAAAGUGAGUGUGUGGCCAGGGAUUGUGGCCAGACUUGUGUGUGUGGCUGUACAUAGGAGUGUGUAGCCAUACAGAGGGCGUGUGCUGCCCUACACAGGAGUGUGUGUUCGUACACUCCUUGUUUGAUCCCGAAAUAUCGGUUUUUGAGGUAUUCCAAGUUCCAAACCAUGUUUUAAUUCGAAUAUAGGGGCCGUACUCUCACUUUACAGGGUACUUGAGUGUGUGCGGCCACCUUAUGAUGGUGUGCGGAUGCACUCCUUCAAAGGACGAAGAACAUAAAGAACACUAUGAGUUUUUGGCUUAGAUUCAAGUGUCUUACGACUAUAACAAGCUGGAUGAUGAAGUAGUUCACGUUUUUAAGUCCUUAAUGAUGUUCUUGGAUGAAGUUUUUAGAGAGAGAAAGUAGAGAGAGAAUGUAGUGUGCAGCCAAAAGAGGGGAAGAGUGAAUAAAGGGGGGUCUCCUCAAAUAUAUAGGGUCAGGUGUGAGGCUGGAGGGUGUGUACGACUGGGGUGUGCGGCUGGCUGGCCCCACACGCGGGUCUGCGGCUGCAUACACCUUCCUUGGUGUGUAUAGCUCGGUUUUGUGAUGCUACACAUUUUAUAACUCUCGUUAAGACUCAUACCUAGGUUAUACUAAGCCUAAAGUACUCACAUGGACCGACAAUAUCUCUAAUAGAUAAUGAAUUUUUGUUUAAAUUUGAUUUAUGGAUCAAUCAUACAGGAUAAAAGUUUCGGGUUGUCACAUCAUUCUCCCGUUAGAGGGAAUUUCGUCCCGAAAUUCGAAUAUAGAAUAGAAAUCAUGAACUAGGGAAAGAGAUGCAGAUGCUUCUGUUUCAUCUGAUCUUCACGCUCCCAAGUGAAUUCAGGUCCCCGCUUGGCACUCCAGCGAACGUUUACUAUCGGGAUGCGACUUUGUUUUGUUUGUUUAACUUCCUUAUCCAUGAUUUCAAUUGGUUCUUCCACAAAGUUCAGAUUCUUGUUGAUUUCAAUCUCAUCAAGAGGAAUUGCAAGUGGAUCGUCGGAUAAACACUUCUUAAGGUUUGAGAUGUAGAAGACAGGAUGGAUGUUGCUAAAUUCUUGCGGUAAACGAAGUUUGUAGGCUACUAGACUGUAAGUCCCUAAUUUGCCCGUGUAUUAGUCAGAUCUGUUUGAUGGUGCAGAAUCCCAAUCAAACGGAUGAUGUAAAAUAAAAUAGAAGAGAAGAAGAAGAAGAAUAUGAUGAAUCUAUGUAUGAAUUGAUAUGAAUUAUGAUCCGGAUACAAGAGAUUCACACACACAUAAAAGCUCUUGUUUCUCUCUCUGGCCGUAAACUACUUUGUGUUCAUCAAAUCAUCAAUCUCUACUCCUCACCCUAACACCUCUAUUUAUACAUGUUGGAUAUGGGCCGGAAACAAAUGGGCCGUAAAUGAGUUUACGGCCGUAAGGUGUUUAGGGCCGUAAACUCCGCCGUAAACUAGACCAUAAAUUAAUAUAAUAUUACAUAAAAAUAAUUGCCUAGAAAAGUAAAGUAUAAACCAUAUUUUUGAACCAACAAUCUCCCCCUUGGUUUAUAGCUUUCUUUUCUUAAUGACCCAACAAGCUCCCCCUAAAAGGUAGCUGGCUCUUCUUGUCAAUCAUUAAUGAGAGCUUGGCUUCAGCAUUUAUCUUCAAUUUCUUCACAGCAUCAGGAUGAACAUAUGAAUCUUCAAUGAAUGACUUCAUCUUGUGCAGUUGGGCAUUUCUUCAGAAUUUGGCAUUGAUCGCACAUUGGGUGAGGAGGCUUGACAUACUGAUUCUUGAAAGAUAAUCUUCAGAGAGAACAAAUCUUCUAGAUCACUUCAGCAGGUUCAUAGAUAGCAGCAGACUGAUUGAGGAGGCUUCAAUGCAAUCCGUCACAUAAUCUUCAAUUGCAGCUUCACCUUGCUUCUGGGGUUGAAGGAUUGAAUGUUGAAAGAAUGAUCUUCAUUUCUUGCUCCUUCGAAUGUGAAUUCUUCGAUGCUCACGGACGAGGCUUUGGCUCAGAAAUCUUCAACACAAACUCCAUGAGUCUUAUCUAUACCUGAAAUCACUAUUCAAGACAAAAACAAAACUAAAAGAAAACUUAGCACACAAAUUAAAAUAGAAACAAAAAUAUUUUUGGAUUUUUGAUUUUUCUGAACAAGAAAUAAAACAGAAAUAACACUAUUUUUGUAUUUUUUUUAAUUUUUUUUAAUUUUUUUUUUUUUUUUUUUUAUUUUCAUUAUUUUUAAUUUUUAAUUCUCCCCUAAUAUUUAAAUUAGAAGAAACUAUGACAAAUUUAACAAAAAUAAAAAUGAUAUCUAACUUUAAGAGAGAUUUGGGAUCAAAGUUUUUAGACAGCCUUUAUCCACUUGUCGGUACCUUUCAUAUUCACAUCUUUGUCUGGUCGAUCGUCGGUAUUGUUGUCCACUUAAACACGAAAAAUUGUGACAAAUUUAGGACAUACUAUUUGUUACAAGACAAGGUGAACUUAAGUUCCUAAAAAUUAUAUCUGAUCCUAAUUCCUUAGAUACUAUAUCUUAAGGACCAUUCAUCUGACGACGACUAGGGAUAUUGUUGUCCACCUAAAUUGAGCAGCGAGAUCUACAGACAAUCUGUAUGAGUUCAAUUUUAAGUGUACUGGAACGUGUUUCCCGCUUCCUGAUAUGCCCCAGCCAUCAAGAACUUCCAGAGUACUCCUUACACCGGGUGAGCAGACAACCAUUCAGAGAGAGAAGAGAUUCAGAAUUCUAUUGCUAACUACUUCAGAGGGGUUGAGAAGAAGAAGGUUGCAUAUGCUGUGUACCAGGUCGGAUUAGAAGUCGCGCAAAGGAGACAGCAUAUGGCUAACAGAUGAGAAGUAUUUCACACAUAUAUCACACACAUAUAUAUAUCCUGCAGAGAAAUAGAGUUGCAUAUGUUGUGUACCAGGUCGGAUUAGAAGUCACGCAAAGGAGACAACAUAUGACUAACAGACAGAAAGAAAGAAAACGAUUUUCUACAGACCUAAUUUAUCGGAAUUUACCAGUCGCCCCAUCCAACCGGAAUUAAGGACAGAAUCCGCACAUCGAGGAAAAGUUAAACCACGGUUCCAAGUACGGGUUCAAUUAAUGUGACGAGUAGAUUCCCAUAUAUAUCUCCCUGCUCAACCUAUCCGAGCGUCGUAUUGUCAGGCUGAAUGGAUCUAACUAGGUCAAGAUUUGUCAAGUCUAUAAAUUUCCUAAGUUCAACUCUGCCUAGUCAUGUCCAUUUUAAAAUUUUUCGUGCCUACCGACGCAUCAAGUCAGAGCAUAGACCCUUCAACUUUGGGUACGUUACACAGACUCAGGUUGCCUGUUAUCACUUGAUAAUAUCACUUCCCAAAACAUCACCCUCAAGCACAUUUCAUAACCAACAUUAUUUUUAUUUUUUUGUAUUUUCUGAUUUUCUAAUGUUUUUGGAUUUUUUUUUUUAAUUUUCUAAUUUUUGUUUUUUUUUAUUUCUCCCCCUAAAUUUUUGCAUAGGAGAGAAAUGAAAGUAAAUGCGCAAAUUUAAACUAUCAUAAAACAAAAAUUAGUCUUUAAAGUGAAUCAGCUUAAGAAAAACUCAGGAGUAUAGAGAAGAAAACGCAAACCGUAAGUCACCGAUUGAAUUUGCAUUCAGAAGGUCUGAGAACAGCANNNNNNNNNNNNNNNNNNNNNNNNNNNNNNNNNNNNNNNNNNNNNNNNNNNNNNNNNNNNNNNNNNNNNNNNNNNNNNNNNNNNNNNNNNNNNNNNNNNNNNNNNNNNNNNNNNNNNNNNNNNNNNNNNNNNNNNNNNNNNNNNNNNNNNNNNNNNNNNNNNNNNNNNNNNNNNNNNNNNNNNNNNNNNNNNNNNNNNNNNNNNNNNNNNNNNNNNNNNNNNNNNNNNNNNNNNNNNNNNNNNNNNNNNNNNNNNNNNNNNNNNNNNNNNNNNNNNNNNNNNNNNNNNNNNNNNNNNNNNNNNNNNNNNNNNNNNNNNNNNNNNNNNNNNNNNNNNNNNNNNNNNNNNNNNNNNNNNNNNNNNNNNNNNNNNNNNNNNNNNNNNNNNNNNNNNNNNNNNNNNNNNNNNNNNNNNNNNNNNNNNNNNNNNNNNNNNNNNNNNNNNNNNNNNNNNNNNNNNNNNNNNNNNNNNNNNNNNNNNNNNNNNNNNNNNNNNNNNNNNNNNNNNNNNNNNNNNNNNNNNNNNNNNNNNNNNNNNNNNNNNNNNNNNNNNNNNNNNNNNNNNNNNNNNNNNNNNNNNNNNNNNNNNNNNNNNNNNNNNNNNNNNNNNNNNNNNNNNNNNNNNNNNNNNNNNNNNNNNNNNNNNNNNNNNNNNNNNNNNNNNNNNNNNNNNNNNNNNNNNNNNNNNNNNNNNNNNNNNNNNNNNNNNNNNNNNNNNNNNNNNNNNNNNNNNNNACUUUGACCUAACCGGUCUUGGCUUCACAGGAGCAUCUCUUGAACUGGGCUUCUUGGCCGGCAUUCCCUUCUUGCCCUUGGGAUUCAAAUUCUUUGCCUUGUGGGUUGGAUGCUUGGCCUUGGGAGUUGAAUUCUUGGCCUUCUUGGCAUUCCAGUCGUCAAUGUCUGAUCGUGAUCUCGAGGGGUAUCUUUUGGAGUGUCUCCCUCUUGACGCGUUCUGCCAGCCUUGUACGUAGUAGGGAACAUACGCGCGAUUAGGACAAUUUCUGGCAAUGUGUCCAGGUGUUCCACAGUGAAAACAAGUCCUUUUCUUCACUGGGGAGUUGUCUCUUCUUGCCCCUGGUGGCGUAUCUUUGCCUUGUCUUUUGUUGUCCCUACAUGCACACUUGCCACAAAAACUCUGUUGCGUUGGAAUUGGUGGCCUGUAUUUUUCAACUGCAGGUUUGUUAGAAGCAACCGAGCUCGAAGCAACAGAUUUAGAGUUCAAGGAGUCAUUUGUUUGUUCAGAAGAACUCUCCUUGUUAUCAUCCUCUGCUACUUUACCUGCACAAGAAGUAGCAACAUUAGUAUCUUCAAUAUUAAUAACUCCUCCUCAUACAAAUCCAACUCGUUUUCCAUAUUGAAUAUGUGCCUCCCUGUCAAUUUCUUUCUUUGUCAUGGGGAUGGAUGUGUAGUUAUGAUUAAAAGGAGGAGGUACACUAUCAUAUCCUAGACCCUUGCUUUGAUUUUCUUUGAAUUUUAACUGGGUCUCAUAUAAGGACUCGACUGUCUGACUUGACGCAGUAUAAUUUUUGAAACUGACAUCAGUUUUUCCACACUUAAUUUUUAAAGCGUCAAGUUCUUCAGUUACAGCAACAAGUUGUCUCUUAACAUAAUCAUAAUUUUCACACUUGUGGCUAUACUCUUCCUGAAGUUUCCUAAAGUCCUUGGUUUUUGCUUCUAACUCAGCCUUCAGGGGUUUCUGUCAUUUCCUGAGUUGAUAUCCUUCAUAUCUCAGGUCCUCAACUUCUCUUUUAAAUAUAUCAAUUUGUUCCCGAAGAAAUUUAAUCGUGUCUUCACAUGAUUGAGAACAUGAAACUUCACAUGAAUGAGAACAUGACACUUCAUUGACCGGAAGGUUUACAGAACNUUAAUUACAUCAGCAAGACUAAGAUGAUUGAGAUCUUUUGUCUUCUUGAUGAUAGCUACAUUCAUAUCCCACGAUUUUGGAAGUGAAUUCAACAGCUUUUUGUUGAUCUCGGACUUAGUCAAGAAGAUCCCAGCUAUAUUCAUCUCAGUAGUGAGUGUGGUAAAUCGCUGCAACUGAGCUUCCAUGGUUUCUCCAGGGAUAUAAUCGAACAAGUUGAAAUUUUGUCUUAACAUAUCCUGACGACUCUCUUUCAUGUUUUUCAAAUUCCCUCGUAGACCUUAAAAUCAAUUAAUUAAAAAAACAACUAGAAGCAAACGUCAAAUUUAAAAUGCCCUUUUUUUUAUUUUAUUUUAUUUUUUUUAAAGUCAACCUUAAAAGUCAAAAAAAAAAUCAAACUCAAAAGUCAAACUUGAAAAGUCAAACCGAAAAGCUAAAUUUGAAAUUUUAAAAGUUAAACGAAAAAGUCAAAGUUUAAAGUCAAAUGUCAAACUUGGAAGUCAAACUGAAAAGUUAAAUUUGAAAAUUUAAAAAUUAAACGAAAAAGUCAAGGUUUAAAAUCAAAAAUAAAAACAUUUUUUUUUAAAUUAUUAUUUUAUUAUUUAUUAUUAUUUUAUUAUUAUUAUUAUUAUUAUUAUUAUUAUUAUUAUUAUUAUUAUUAUUUUUUUUUUNNNNNNNNNNNNNNNNNNNNNNNNNNNNNNNNNNNNNNNNNNNNNNNNNNNNNNNNNNNNNNNNNNNNNNNNNNNNNNNNNNNNNNNNNNNNNNNNNNNNNNNNNNNNNNNNNNNNNNNNNNNNNNNNNNNNNNNNNNNNNNNNNNNNNNNNNNNNNNNNNNNNNNNNNNNNNNNNNNNNNNNNNNNNNNNNNNNNNNNNNNNNNNNNNNNNNNNNNNNNNNNNNNNNNNNNNNNNNNNNNNNNNNNNNNNNNNNNNNNNNNNNNNNNNNNNNNNNNNNNNNNNNNNNNNNNNNNNNNNNNNNNNNNNNNNNNNNNNNNNNNNNNNNNNNNNNNNNNNNNNNNNNNNNNNNNNNNNNNNNNNNNNNNNNNNNNNNNNNNNNNNNNNNNNNNNNNNNNNNNNNNNNNNNNNNNNNNNNNNNNNNNNNNNNNNNNNNNNNNNNNNNNNNNNNNNNNNNNNNNNNNNNNNNNNNNNNNNNNNNNNNNNNNNNNNNNNNNNNNNNNNNNNNNNNNNNNNNNNNNNNNNNNNNNNNNNNNNNNNNNNNNNNNNNNNNNNNNNNNNNNNNNNNNNNNNNNNNNNNNNNNNNNNNNNNNNNNNNNNNNNNNNNNNNNNNNNNNNNNNNNNNNNNNNNNNNNNNNNNNNNNNNNNNNNNNNNNNNNNACUUUGAAGCUCCAAAACUCAAUCAAAAACCCUUUUGUUAUGAAAAACACAGAGAACAAACCCCCUUUAUUUUUGCGAGAUCUAUCCAAAAACGCAAAAAUAUUACGAAAAUAAGAUCAAAUAUUGCCCCAAAAAGAGUUUACGGCCCAAGAACUCGGUGUUUACGACCGUAAGCUUGGACCGUAAACACAGAAUAUUCGAUUUUUGGAUGAAAUAAUGAACCUUUUAACUGAUACAACUUGGCUCUGAAACCAAUUGUAAGUCCCUAAUUUGCCCGUGUAUCAGUCAGAUCUGUUUGAUGGUGCGGAAUCCUAAUCAAACGGAUGAUGUAAAAUAAAAUAGAAGAGAAGAAGAAGAAGAAUAUGAUGAAUCUAUGUAUGAAUUGAUAUGAAUUAUGAUCCGGAUACAAGAGAUUCACACACACAUAAAAGCUCUUGUUUCUCUCUCUGGCCGUAAACUACUUUGUGUUCAUCAAAUCAUCAAUCUCUACUCCUCACCCUAACACCUCUAUUUAUACAUGUUGGAUAUGGGCCGGAAACAAAUGGGCCGUAAAUGAGUUUACGGCCGUAAGGUGUUUACGGCCGUAAACUCCGCCGUAAACUAGACCAUAAAUUAAUAUAAUAUUACAUAAAAAUAAUUGCCUAGAAAAGUAAAGUAUAAACCAUAUUUUUGACCCAACAUGGAUCGAUCCUAGCGAGGAUCUCGAUGGGUCCUAUGUAUCUUGGAUUUAGCUUUCCACGCAUUCUGAAGCGUAUCAUGCCUUUCCAGGGCAAGACUUUCAACAGGACAAGGUCUCCAACCUAGAACUCCAAGGGUUUUCGUCAUUUAUCGGCGUAGCUCUUUUGUGUAUCACGGGAGGCCUUAAGUUAUUCUCGGAUUUGUAUGAUCUUUUUGGAAGUUUCACAGAUGAUUUCUAGACCAGUGAGAGUGCUAUCGGGGACUUGCCCUUUGGCUAGCUGCGUGUUGCCCACCUCAGCCCAGCACAGAGGGGAGCGGCACUUGCGGCCAUAGAGGGCUUCGAAAGGCGUAGCCUUGAUACUGGUAUGGUAACUAUUGUUGUUAGAGAAUUCAACCAAGGGCAAAUGGGUGUCCCAUGAUUUACCGAAGUCGAUGACACAUGCUCUCAACAUAUCUUCCAAGGUCUGGAUGGUUCUCUCACUCUGUCCAUCUGUCUGAGGAUGAUAAGCUGUACUCAUAUCCAGCUUAGUUCCAAGAGAUUUCUGAAGGGACUGCCAAAAUAUCGAAGUGGACCUGCUGUCUCGAUCGGAAAUAAUGGAUGUAGGCACACCGUGCAGUCGGACUAUCUCUUGGAUGUAGAUUCGCGUGAGUCUCUCCAUUUUGAAAGUUUCUUUGAUUGGCAGGAAGUGGGCUGAUUUAGUUAGUCGAUCGACAAUUACCCAGAUGGUGUCGUACCCACUCGGAGAUUUGGGUAAUUUGUUAAUGAAAUCCAUAGAAAUCAUCUCCCACUUCCACUCAGGUAUCUCGGGCUACUGGAGCAGACCCGAGGGUUUCUGAUAUUCGACCUUCACCUUGGCGCAAGUCAAACACUUGCCCACGAAGUUAAUGAUUUCGGCAUUCAUGUUUGGCCACCAAUAUAACUUCUUGAGAUCGAGGUACAUCUUAUCCGAUCCUGGAUGAACGGAGUAUUUGGUCUUGUGAGCUUCGUUCAUGACGACUUCUCUGAAACUACCAAGCUUUGGGGCCCAGAUCUGGUUCAUAAAGUAAUAUACUCCGUCUCUCUUGAUUUCUAGGUUCUUUUCCAUUCCUCUCAGGGCUUCACCCGACAUGUUCUUUGGUUUUAAGGCUUCUAACUGAGCCUCUUUGAUUUGUGCGGAUAAAUGGGAUUGGAUAGUCAUGGUCAGUGCCUUCACUCCACGACUUGAGUACUCCUUCCGGCUGAGGGCAUCUGCCACCACAAUUGCCUUGCUGGGAUGGUAGCGGAUUUCGCACUCGUAAUCGCUGAGUAGCUCAACCCAUCGUCGUUGUCUCAUGUUCAGCUCUUUCUGAUCGAAGAUAUGCUGCAAACUUUUAUGGUCAGUGAAGAUAGUGCACUUGGUUCCGUAGAGGUAAUGUCUCCAAAUUUUCAGUGCGAAGACAACUACUCCCAACUCCAAGUCAUGAGUUGUAUAAUUGAUUUCGUGUGCUUUCAAUUGUCUCGAGGCAUAAGCAAUGACUUUUCCUCGUUGCAUAAGCACACAGCCUAGGCCCUGAUUGGAUGCAUCACAGUAGACAACGAAGUCCUCCGUCCCUUCGGGCAGAGACAAGAUAGGUGCGCUACGUAGGGCCUGUUUCAAUGUUUGGAAUGCAGUGUCUUGCUUUUCACUCCAACAAAAAGGUACGCCCUUCUGCGUUAGAGUGGUUAAAGGUUUGGCAAUUCGGGAGAAAUUCUGGAUGAAUCUGCGAAAGUAACCAGUGAGACCCAAGAAUUGAUGGAUUUCUGUGGGGGGCGUCUUUGGUGCCGACCAAUUCUCUAUCGCCUUGAUUUUGGAAGGGUCCACGUGUAUGCCUUCCUCGCUCACCACAUGACCCAAGAAAGUUACUUUCCGUAUCCAGAAUUCACACUUGGAAAAUUUCGGGUACAACUUUUCUGUUCUUAGAGUUUCCAACACUAAUCUCAAGUGUUGUUUGUGAUCUUCCUCAUUUUGGAAUAGACAAGUAUAUCGUCUAUGAACACGAUUACGAACUUGUCCGAGAAAGGACGAGAAACCCGGUUCAUCAGGUCCGUGAACACUGCCGGUGCGUUGGUUAGACCGAAGGGCAUCACCACAAAUUCGUAGUGACCAUAUCGAGUCCGAAAUACUGUUUUAAGGAGAUCAUCCUCGUGGAAUCGUAGCUGACGAUACCCUGAUCUGAGGUCUAUCUUGGAGACAUAUCUGUCUCCUUGAAGUUGGUCGAAGAGGUCGUCGAUUCGAGGAAGAGGAUAGCGGUUUUUGAUGGUGAGUUUGUUUAACUCUCGGUAGUCAAUGCACAUCCGAAAGGGUCCAUCUUUCUUCUUCACAAAUAAAACCGGGGCUCCCCAGGGUGAGGAACUCGGUCUGAUGAAUCCUUUGUUGAGUAGCUCGUUGAGUUGGCUGGACAACUCUUGCAUUUCUGCUGGCGCUACGCGAUAUGGGGACUUAGCUACGGGGGUAGCUCCGGGGACUAAUUCGAUGCGAAACUCUACUUGGCGCUCAGGAGGAAUUCCCGGAAGCUCUUUUGGAAAGACAUCAGAAAAAUUGCAGACUUCGGGGAUGCUCUCGAGAUCUUUAACUUCCUGCUUCUCAUUUACCACGUGGGCUAGAAAUGCAUGACACUCCUUUCGCAGAAGUUUUUGGGCUUUAAUGCAUGAAAUAAUGCAGAGUUUGGGGCUAAGUGUAUCGUCAUAGAUCAUAAGGGUUUCACCAGAAGAGAGAUUGAGACGAAUAACUUUUUCGAAACAAAGGAUAUCAGCACGAUUGGGGCUCAACCAAUCCAUGCCAAUGAUGAAAUCGAAGCUCUUUAUGGAAACUGGAAUGAGAUCGAUAGGAAAGGAAUGAUCGUUUAGGGUAAGGGUACAUCCACGAAAUAUAGCGUUAGUGCUCUCUUUCUGACCGUUAGCCAUUUCGACAGUGAAUGUUUCGGUUAAAGAUUGAGGUUUAUGUUUGAGAAAAUGUUUGAAUGCAUGACUGACAAAACUUCUCUCCACACUAGAAUCAAAAAGAAUGUAUGCAUAAGAAUUGUCGAAGAGGAACGUACCCGUGACAACGGUAGGAUCAACAACUGCCUCCUCUUGCCCCGUUGCUAGAACUCUCCCAGUAUUGCCAAUUGUUGUUGCCUUGGGACAAUUUCUCUUGUAGUGUCCGACCUCAUCACAACCAUAGCAGGCCUGACCGACACCUGCUCUAGAUGCCUGAUUGGUUGUUUGGGCUGGUGUUCUAUAGUUUCGGGCAAUGUGACCCUUUUUGCCACAGUUGUUGCAGCGCAUUUCACGACAUGGGCCGGGGACACGGUGGUGGUAAUUGCGCUUGCUGCACCAAGGGAGGGUACCAAUAUAUCCACUGGUAGGUGCUUGAGUUGUAGGAGCAGCAGCAGGAGUAGUUGCAGCGUGGAUUGCCACUGUUUGCUGUUUCUUUGAGGGCUCCUACGAAGACUGACCCUUCUUUUGUUUCCAAAAUAUUCUUUUCUCACCACUCCUUUUAGCUAGUUCAGGAGCGAUGAUCACUUCAUUGAGAUCGAAUCCAUGAUCGAUCAGAGUCUGCGCCAGGCAAUUAGCGCUAUCGAAGGUGUUUGGCCUAGCAGCCAAGACAUUUCCUUUGAUUGGCUAGGUCAGCCCCCAAAUGUAUCUUUCAAUCUUUUUGCUUUCCGAGGUGACCAUCCGUGGGCAGAGGAGCGCUAGGUCUUCAAACCUAGAUGUGUAGGCAACAACAUCGAAACCCUUCAUCUUUAGGUUCCAAAGUUUGUGCUCCAGUUUCUGCAUUUCACCCCGAGGGCAGUAUGCAGCAAGCAUGAGCUCUUUCAAAGUCUCCCAACCCAUAGCAUUUGCCACUGGUAGGGUUAGGGAUUUGACCCGACCAUUCCACCAGGUCAGUGCCCUGUUGGAGAAGGUGCAGGUAGAGAAUUUUACUUUGUUGGCUUCCGAACAGGAACAAAUUUCGAAGAUGGACACGGUUUUCUCGAACCAUCGAGUCAAGGCAAUGUCACCUCCAAUGCCGUCGAAAGGUGUGGCUUUUUUCGUUCAUGAAUUCUUUAUAGGAACACUCCUUCUGGUGUCCCUAACAACCUUCCUGAUUUUGGGGAUGGAUACCACCUCCAUGUCCACCAGAUCCGACAGAUUCAUCUGUGACAUCACGACAGCCACAACAACAGUAACAGCUGCUUGGAACAUAGCGAGAUCAAACUGAGGAGGUGGUGGUGGAGGAUUGUUGUUCUUUGAGCUGGGUGUUUUCUUUGGAGGCAUAUCGUUCUAAAAUGAUCAUGAAGGAGAGGAUGGUAAGUCUACUAAAUUGAAUCCAGAGAUAUGAAACAAGAUGUAUCUCUGUAUGAUAGGUAAAGUGUUCUACUAAGUGAUAAAUAGGAAGGCGUUACUAAGGAAAGUAAACUAUCGCUAGGACAGAAUGAGUAGCAACUCUUGGAAUGAAUUUCUACAAUAUAUCCUACUUUGAUCAAAAUACUCCUAUAGUAUUUUAUGUUGAAGGUUUUGUUCCAUCGAUUGCUUUUGGUAGAAAUACUUGGUAAGUUUUAGGUCUGCCGCAACACCACAGUCACUCCCAAGCACAUGUUAGUCAUGUCUCGAAUGAAUAUAGUUGAUCAGGCUAUAUUGACCCUGGACAUGAUUACAUAACUGCCUAGGUUUAACCACAGUGUUCAACAUCCAAUUACUUUUGUCUGGUUCUUUUUACGAUACGAUUUCUGGUAUGUAGGUAUACUUGUAUACUUGGAGUAAAAAUACUUAUUGUUUUUUAAAGUAUACUUUUAGUUCAGAGCACUUCGGCCCCUUAGUGUUUAUAGUUGUAUAACAUGUAAGGUUAGGAAUACUUAGUUCACUAUAAACAAUAGCUCUGAUACCAAUCUAUCACACCCCCGAAUCGUCAGGAAAACAACGGCGGAAACGUCCGGGGGCGGCGACGUCAUACGUAGUAUCACAACAAUCGUAUCAUAGCAAGCAUAGUAAACACAACCAUUACAUUACAAUAUAAAUAUUUACAUCUGUUUGAAAAAAAAGUAGGUACAUAGUAUUAUAUAACAGAAGAUAAAGACGAGACUCCAAAAAUGCUCUGUCUUCUCCAAAAGCUGGCUAAGUACCUGUCUAUCGUUGUCCUGAGAAUACAAGCGAUUUUGAAAACAUAUCAGCAUAAAGCUGGAGAGUUCAUAAGCAUGUUUUUGUAUUGAAAACUAGUCACUGAGUUUGUAUAAAUAGUUUCUUUCCAUUAUAGGUAAAUAUCGUUUGUAUCGAAAACCGUUAUUAACAAGUUCUAAAGUAUGAACGCAUGCUUACCAAGAAAAUCCAAUAUUUUCUAACAUGUUUGUUGGUUUCUGAAUGAAAGGUACGUUCUGUUUGAAAACCCUGGUUACCACCAGUAUGUGGCUGCAUACAGGAGUGUGCGGUCGUACACAGGAGUGUGCGGCCGUACAGUCCUUGUUUGAUCCCGAAAUUUAGGUUUUUGAGUUAUUCCAAGUUCCAAACCAUGUUUUAAUUCAGAUAUAGGGGCCAUACUCUCACUUUGGAGGGUACUUGAGUGUGUGCGGCCACCUUAUGAAGGUGUGCGGCCGCACUCCUUCAAAGGACGAAGAACAUAAAGAACACUAUGAGUUUUAGGCUUAGAUUCAAGUGUCUUACCACUAUAACAAGCUGGAUGAUGAAGUAGUUCACAUUUUUAAGUCCUUAAUGAUGUUCUUGGAUGAAGUUUUUAGAGAGAGAAAGUAGAGAGAGAAAGUAGUGUGCAGCCAAAAGAGGGAAAGUGUGACUGAAGGGUGGGGCGGGGUCUCCUCCAAUAUAUAGGGUUAGGUGUGAGGCUGGAGGGUGUGUAUAGCUGGGGUGUGCGGCCACACACACCUUCCUUUAUGUGUAUGGCUCGGUUUUGUGAUGCUACACACUUUCUAACUCUCCUUAAGACUCAUACCUAGGUUAUACUAAGCCUAAAGUACUCACAUGGACCCACAAUGUCGAUAAUAGAUAAUGAAUUCGAGUUUAAAUUUGAUUUAUGGAUCAAUCAUACAGGAUAAAAGUUUCUGGUUAUCACACUUAGAAGCUUGGAUCUGCAAUUUGGAACCACUGCAUGGCUUAAAAGAGUUUGUAUGGCUUAAGGAAUGAAGGGACUCAGCGAGUUGCAAGGUUGACUCGGCGAGUCAAAUGAAGAUAGGCAUGGACUCGACGAGUUGGAUGAACAACUCGGCGAGUCUGAUGAAGAUUGUUGUAGACUCGACAAGUUGUAUGAACAACUCGGCGAGUUGGACGACGAUUCCCUAAAUUAUGUAUACGUGUGUAACCAUUGAGUUGCAAGAAGAAAACUCGACGAGUGGCCUUAGAGUUUGAUCGUAAACCAAAGGAAGUCGACGAGUCACUAUGUUGACUCGGCGAGUAGAAAAGUACUUCAAGGAACCCGACGAGUAGUCGAGGGUACUCGGCGAGUAGGGUCAACAUGGACUGUUGACCGUGACUGUGUACUAUGACUUUGACCAAGGGGUUGAUUAGUUGGAUUAUGGGGGGUGUUUAUAUUAUGGUAAUAUGUGAUGGAGUUCUUGGCAAUGAUUCGAGAGUUGGAAUUUAUCUUCCGAGUCGACAUCUGCAAGGUGAUUUAUCCUCACUAUUUCAAUAGGGUGUAAGGAACCAAGGUCGUCCCUUUAGUUGUUAUUGUUGUGGUAUACUUUGUGUGGUUAUGAUCUGCUAGAUCGGAAUCGGGAUAAACAAUAUGUUAUGCUCUUAUGAUCCGUAGGGAUUGGUAUGUUAGUGACCUACUAGGCUGGUGCUCUAGUUACGACAGCUUGCCAUAAUUGAUGAUCAACAAGAUAAAUAUGUUUGAUGUUUGUAUAUGCCAGUAUAUGUUAGUUAUGCACACAUGGUUAUUGCUUGUGGGUUGGGUUGAGGCGGUCCUGCUUUGUGCUGAAGGCCAACACACCCUAUGAGCGGUCCGGGGAGACUGUGGGCCCUCGUGGCGGUCCAGUCAUGCUGAAGGCUCGGGAUAGAUCCAGAUAGACUGUAGGCCCACGUUGCGGUACAGUCAGGCCGAUGGCCCAGUAUGCCUGUUGACUAAUUGAUUAUUACUGAUAUGGUAUUAUCAGUGUGGUAUUGGUAUUUUGGGGGUAGCUCACUAAUCCAUCGGGCUUACAGUUUUCAGUUUACUGUUUCAGGUACUUCAGGAGAUCAUGGCAAGGCAAAGGCAUGAAAGUACCGCUCCUCAUCCUUAUGAUCUGGUUAUUGGGACACUAUGAUGAAUAAUCAAUUGAAAACUUUUUGUAAACGAAUACUAUUGGGUUGUAUUUAUGAUUGAAAAAGUUUAAAUUUGGCGUAAAAUUUUAUGGUUGUUACAUGCAGGCAUAUAUUUGAUGCAGAAAGAAGAAAAUAAAAAUAGGGGAUAACAUAGUACUUUUUAACAAAAUCUUGGUUAUAUUUUUGGUUGUCAUAAACUGCAACAUCAUUCUACACCUCCUAAAUAUUUAAAAAACAGCUAGUAGGUAACUAUAAAAGAUGUUAGAUAAUAAAUACAUCCUAGAUUAUAAGAACCAAAACAAACUACACUAAGACCAUAAAAAUUGACUGAUCGAAUAUCAAAGUUGUUGUUCAAAUUGAUUUUUUUCAAGAAAUCUACAUUAUUGGAGUUUAUUUCCAACAGGAAUGAGCCAUCCAUUAGAAAAUGUAAAAGCUCCAAGAUCCUUUGAUUUGUUAAUGUCUCCUACACCAUUAUUAAGAUUCUCAACUCCUUGGCUACUAAGAAUUCAUUAGUAAUUUUAUCUCCAUAGACAUGAAUUUGAGUGUAUUUUAAUGGUGAUGCUUUGGCUGGAAGUUCUUGUGUUGUUUUUUUUGUCUCGGCAUACUUUCUUAGAUGUUAGAGCUAGAUGUUGAUAACCAUAGCAGACCCUUGGUACUAAGUCUUGAGAAUGUUACAUUAUUUUCUUGAAACGAUUAUGGGGAAAAUAGUUUCAUCCAUUUCAUGUUGGAUGAACAACAAAACAUUGGCAUAUUUCUUUUGAUUUUAUCUUUGUCGAGCUUCAUCAGUGAUUCUAUGUGUGUAGUAAUUCUAUAAAAAAUCCCAUAUCUCUCGUGACCUGAAAUGGAUAUUUUUUCAUGCCCCAAAAUUCAUAGGAACGUCCACUGAAAAUUCGGAUCAGAGGCUAAGCCAUGCUAAUAAAUAGUAUGGGAAAAUGACUUGUAAGACCAAUAAAGUUUCGAAGUCAUUCAAAAAACCUCAAUCAUGUUUUGUUUGUUCAAAAAAACCCAAUGAACUUAACAUUUUAUCUAAAAGAACCCAACGGACUUAACCUUUUAUCUAAAAAAACCCCAACGAACUUCAACUUUUGUUCAAAUCUCAUUAGAUGAAAUCAGAUUCAUUAGGUAUACAAUUAUUUGGGAAAUGAUAUGGCGUUAUUUUUACUGACAUUGUAUAGACAGAUUUUAAUUUCCCUUUAUAUAUCGAUUUAGGGCAUGGAGAAAAGAAAAACGAAGGAAGUCUGUGUUAGAUCUUUUAUAAUUGCUACUCUCUCUUCUUCUUCUCAAUCGUUGAUGUCCAACUCAGUAUCUACAAAAAAGAUAUUUGAUGAUGCAAACCCUUGUGGAUGUGGAUUCCCUUCUCUUGAGUUAGACAUCAAUGAUUGAGAGGAAGAACAAUAAGUAGCCAUUACACGAGAUCGAACACAGAUGUCAUUUGUUUUUCUCUUCUCCAAGCCUUAAAUUGAUACAUAAAGGGUAAUUUUGAUAUGUUUUUCCAUGUCAUUAAAUAUAAUGUCAAGUACUUUACCAACUAAUUGUAUACAUAAUGAAUCUUGUUGCCUCUAAUGAGAAUUUAACAAAAGUUUAAUUUCAUUGGGUUUUUUUAACAAAAGGUUAUGGUCGUGUUUUUUUUGAACAAAAAAAACAUGAUUGAGGUUUUUUGAACGGUUUCGAAACUUCAUUGGUCUUACAAGUCAUUUUCACAAUAUUUAACUUCACGUCAUAGGCCAUGUCAUUCGUUGAAUUUCGUUACCCAGUUGACCCUAAUGAGAAAUGAACAAAAGUGUAAGUUAGUUGGGCGUUUUUAGACAUCUUAUGUUCGUUGUGUUUUCUGAUCAGACAAAACAUAAUUGGGUUUUUGGAAUGGUUUGGAAACUACAUUGGGAUAUAAAGUCAUUUUCCCUAUAUAGUAAUGUUGACUUACACCAUUUUAAAAUUGAUAUAAAGCAAAUAUUAGGUGUCGAACUUAGCUCUAAUACCAUAAUGUUUGUGUAAUUAAACAAUACUAAGCUAAGAGAAAGAGGGAAUAUUUUCACUAUAAGACUCUCAUAUUAUUGAUGCUUAAAAUGUAAACACGAGAUGGCUAUAUAUAUCGAGCAUCCAAGGAGAAAUUACUAGAAACCAUUACAUGAAAUAAGGAAAAUCAAAAACAAGUAGUAUAAGUAAACAAAUUUUUGAUAAACUAGUAAGAAGACUCUCAGAUUUUUCUGGAUUGUUUUCGAAUCAUUCUUCAAUAGGACUAGGGUGUGGGCAUAUGGUGGGGGCUGUACGGCUCGUAGAUGAUUUGAAAUGGACGUAUCAUGCACCAACAUCAUACAUAUCAAGGGAUAAACGAGGGGCCAGAAGGACCUCAAGUGGGAUUGCUUUACUGAUAGUCACUCCUGCGCUUUCGCUCAUAUCAAUGGGUUCAUUUGAUGGCUUUUUAAGCACAAAUUGUUGUAUUAGAGUAGCUAAAGUUAUAUUCAACGCCCGAAGAGCAAACGGAAUACCAGGGCAUACUCUUCUACCACUACCGAAAGGAAGCAAUUCAUAAUUGUUUCCCUUGACAUCAACAUGUUUAUGACUUGUCAAGAAUCUUUCUGGCUGAAAUUCUUCAGGAUCUGACCAUUUAUCAGGAUCAUGUUGAAUUUUCCAAUAAUUAGUCAUUAAACGUGUGCCUUUAGGGAUAUUGUAGCCACCAAUAAUGCAAUCCUUCAUGGACUCAUGAGGAAGGCCUAGAGGUCCAGGCGGGUAUAAACGCAGCGUCUCUUUGAUGAUUGCGUCAAGGUAAACAAGGUUCUUCAGGUCCGACUCCUCUACUACUCUCUUUCUUCCAACAUGCUCAUCCAAUUCAUCUUGGGCAAUUUUUAAUGCUCUUGGGUUGUUGAGCAACAAACUUAAAGUCCAUGUUAACGUUACAGACGUUGUGUCCAAGCCAGCAGCUAAAAUAGUCUGCAAGUUUGAAGUUAAAACAAAUAUCUUGUAUUAGGUUUCAAGCAACAUGCUGAUAAUUGUGUUUCUCACAGAACUUAUAUUAGCCACUGAAAAUUAUUGCAAAUAGGUAUGUCAAAAAGUGUAAUGGGAUCCCCAACCCGUAGGACACCGAUUCAUAUUGUGAUAUUUGUUAAUAAAAUCAGUGGUGGGGGCGGGGGCGGGGGCAUGGGCAACUUCCGUUCUAAUUUCGGGAGUGGGGACAGGGGUGAGAAGUCAUGUCGUGAAACCCCAUGGGGGUCAUGUUAAUAUAUUAUAUGUAGUUAUAUAUAUUAAUUAUAUAAAUAUAAUACAUAGUAGCAAUGAUUUUGAACUCUCAAAAUUCAAUAAAAAAUCAUGUUUUUUCAGUUAUUAGUAUAACGUUUUUGAGAUGUGCUAAUAUUUUUGUUUUUAUCAUGUAAAAUUAUGUUAUAAAUAACUACUUUUCACCCAAAAAAUUGUUUUUUUAUGCCCAAACAAUAACAUCUUUUAGCCCAAUAAAAAAAUAUCCCAAAACCAAUUGAAAGCGGUGAUAAGGGUGGGGAGGAUGGAAAUUUCGGGAGCGGGGGCGGGGUCGUGGCUGGGGGCAAGGGAGAAAUUUCGGGAGUGAGGACGGGAAUGCAACACCUAUCCCGUUUUCACCUCUUGAUAUCCCUAGUUGGAAAUAUUAUAAUGAAUGUGGAAGAAACUAUAAACGAUUAACAAACUUUAAUAAUGAUCAGACAGAGAUUAGGUUUACCAAACAUGCAGCCUUGAUUACGGUAUCAUGGUCAAAACCGCGGAAUUCGUCUUGGGGGGCACCUUCAACAACGGAAAUAAGAACAUCCAUGAAGACUUGGCUUCUUUCAUGUUGCUGCGCAUGCUUUUCCUCCGCUCUCACUCUCUUGUGAUCCUCUAGCCAUCCUGUAACAAUUCCGUACAUCUCUUCUCCUGUCAUCUUCAUUUUUUUCUCGUAUCCUCCCAAGUCCAAUGGCUUCAGAUAUGGAAUAAAAUCAGACACGACAAAUGUGCCCAAUAACACGAAGAAUUUCCUUAUCACUUUUUGAAAUCGAACCCCUUCUUUGUCAUCAGGUGAAAACCUUUUUCCUGAAACAACCCUGACGACAACAUUUAAUAUCAAGUUCUGAAACAAUUGUUUCAUAUCCACCUUUAC